UUGGAUUUCUGGUGGAGACCAUUUCUUGGUCAAAAAUCUGUAGGUGUUAGUCUUCGGUAUUAUUGAAAAUGGUCGUUCAUGCUAUUUUCGACCAGAGGCUCGUAUACCUCACCCUACAUAUGUUUCUAUGCCAUAGAUCACAUUUUUGGAUUUUUGGUGGAGACCUUUUAUUGGUCAAAAAUCUGGAGGUGUUAGCCUUCAGUAUUAUUGAAAAUGGUUGUUGACGCAAUUUUCGGCCAAAAUAUGCGUUGUGUGGCCGUGAUCAUCGACCAGAGGCUCGUACACCUCAAUCCACAUAUUUUUCCUUGCCAUAGAUCACAUUCUUAGAUUUCUGGUGGAGACCAUUUCUUGGUCAAAAAUCCGUAGGUGUUAGCACUCGGUAUUAUUGUAAAUGGUCGUUCAUGCUAUUUUCGACAAAAAUGGGGGUUGUGUGGCCAUUGAUCAUACACCACACCCCACAUAUGUUUCCUUGCCAUAUAUCACAUUCUUGCAUUUCUGGUAGAGACCAUAUCUUGGUCAAAAAUCUGUAGGUGUUAGCCUUCAAUAUUAUUGAAAAUGGUUGUUCAUGCUAUUUUCGACAAAAAUGGGGAUUGUGCGGCCACUUAUCAUCGACCAGAGGUUUGUACACCUCACCCACAUAUGUUUCCUUGUCAUAGAUCAAAUUCUUGGAUUUUUGGUGGAGACCAUUUCUUGGUCAAAAAUACGUAGGUGUUAGCCUUCGGUAUUAUAGAAAAUGGUCGUUCAUGCUAUUUUGGACAAAAAUGGAGGACUGUGUGGCCAUUGAUCAUCGACCAGAGGCUCAUACACCUGACCCCACAUAUGUUUCCUUGCCAUAGAUCACAUUUUUGGAUUUUUGGUGGAGACCAUUUCUUGGUCAAAAAUCCGUAAGUGUUAGCCUUCGGUAUUCUUGAAAAUGGUCAUUCAUGGCAAUUUUCGGCAAAAAUGGAGGUUGUGUGGCCAUUGAUCAUCGACUAGAGGCUCGAACACCAGACCCCACAUAUGUUUCCUUGCCAUAGAUCACAUUCUUUGUUUUCUGGUAGAGACCAUUUCUUGGCAAAAAAUAGCCAUGAACGACCAUUUUCAAUAAUACCGAAGGCUAACACCUAUGGAUUUUUGACCAAGAAAUGGUCUCCACCAGAAAUCCAAGAAUGUGAUCUAUGGUAAGGAAAGAUAUGGGGGUGAGGUGUACGAGCCUCUGGUCGAUGAUCAAUGGCCACACAACUCCAAUUUUUGUCGAAAAUAGCAUGAAGGACCAUUUUCAAUAAUACCAAAGGCUAACACCUAAAGAUUUUUGACCAAGAAAUGGUCUCCACCAAAAAAACCAAGAAUGUGAUCUAUGGCAAGAAAACAUAUGGGGGUGAGGUGUACGAGCCUCUGGUCGAUGAUCAAUGGCCACACAACCCCCAUUUUUGUCGAAAAUAGCAAGAACGACCAUUUUCAAUAAUACCGAAGGCUAACACCAACGGAUUUUUUGCCAAGAAAUGGUCUCUACCAGAAAACAAAGAAUGUGAUCUAUGGCAAGGAAACAUAUGUGGGGUCUGGUGUUCGAGCCUCUAGUCGAUGAUCAGUGGCCACACAGUCCUCCAUUUUUGUCCAAAAUAGCAUGAACGACCAUUUUCUAUAAUACCGAAGGCUAACACCUAUGGAUUUUUGACCAAGAAAUUGUCUCGACCAAAAAUCCAAGAAUGUGAUCUAUGGCAAGGAAACAUAUGUGGGAUCAGGUGUGGGAGCCUCUAGUCGAUGGUCAAUGCCCACACAACCCCCAUUUUUAUCUAAAAUAGCAUGAACGACCAUUUUUCAAUAAUAUCGAAGGCUAACACCUACGGAUUUUUGACCUAGAAAUGGUUCCCACCAGAAUUCCAAGAAUGUGACCUAUGACAAGGAAACAUCUGUGGGGUUAGGCGUACGAGCCUCUAUUCGAUGGUCAAUGGCUAUAUUACCCCAUUUUUUUGAAAAUAGAAUGAACGACCGUUUUCAAUAAUACCGAAGGCUAACACCUAUGGAUUUUUGACCAAGAAAUGGUCUCCACUAGAAAUCCAAGAAUAUGAUCUAUGACAAGGAAACAUAUGUGGGGUGAGGUGUACGAGUUUCUGGUCGAUGUUCAAUGGACACACAACCCCCAUUUUGUCGAAAAUAGCCAUGAACAACCAUUUACAAUUAUACCGAAGGCUAACACCUACGGAUUUUUGAACAAGAAAUGGUCUCCACCAGAAAUCCAAGAAUGUGAUCUAUGGCAAGGAAACAUAUGUGGGGUGAGGUGUACGAACCUCAGGUCAACGAUCAAUGGCCACACAACCCUCAUUUUUGUCGAAAAUAGCAUGAACAACCAUUUUCAAUAAUACCGAAGGCUAACACCAACUAAUUUUUCACUAAGAAAUGGUCUCCACCAGAAAUCCAAGAAUGUGACCUAUGGCAAGGAAACAUAUGUGGGGUGAGGUGUACGAGCCUCUGGUCGAUGAUAAGUGGUCGCAAAAUCCCCAUUUGUGUUGAAAAUAGCAUGAACGACCAUUUUCAAUAAUACCGAAGGCUAACACCUACAUAUUUUUGACCAAGAUAUGGUCUCCACCAGAAGUGAAAUAAUGUGAUCUAUGGAAAGGAAACAUAUAUGGGGUGUGGUGUAUGAGGCUCUGGUCGAUGAUCAAUGGCCACACAACCGCCAUUUUUAUCAAAAAUAGCAUGAACGACCAUUUUCUAUAAUACCGAAGGCUAACACCUACAAAUUUUUUACCAAGAAAUGGUCUCCACCAGAAAUAUAACAAUGUGAUCUAUGGCAAGGAAACAUAAGUAGAGGUGAGGUGUACGAGCCACUGGUCGAUGAUCAAUGGCCACACAACCCCUAUUUUUGCCGAAAAUUGCAUCAACGACCAUUUUCAAUAAUACCGAAGGCUAACACCUACGGAUUUUGACCAAUAAAUGGUCUCCACCAAAAAUCCAAAAAUGUGAUAUAUGGCAUAGAAACAUAAGUGGGGUGAGGUGUACGAGCAUCUGGUCGAUGAUCACAAAACCCCUAUUUUUAUCGAAAAUAGCAUGAACGACCAUUUUCAAUAAUAUCAAAGGCUAACAUAUAUGGAAUUUUGACCAAGAAAUGGUCACAACUAGAAAUCCAAAGAAUGUGAUCUAUGGCAAGGAAACAUAUGUGGGGUGAAUUGUAUGAGCUUCUGGUCGAUCAUCAAUGGCCACACAACCCCCAUUUUUGUCGAAAUAGCAUAAAUGGCCAUUUUCAAUAAUACCGAAGGCUAACACCUACAAAUUUUUGACCAAGAAAUGGUCUCCAAUAGAAAUCCAAGUAUGUGAUCUAUGGUCAGGAAACAUAUGUCGGGUGAGGUGUAUGAUCCUCUGGUCGAUGAUCAAUGGCCACACAACCCCCAUUUUGUCAAAAAUAGCCAUGAACGACCAUUUUAAAUAAUACCGAAGGCUAACACCUACUGAUUUUUUACCAAGAAAUGGUCUCCACCAGAAAUCCAAGAAUGUGAUCUAUGGCAAGGAAAGAUAUGUGGGGUGAGGUGUACGAGCCUGCGGUCAAUGAUCAAUGGCAACACAACCCCCAUUUUUGUCAAAAUAUCACAAACCACAAUUUUCAAUAAUACCGAAGGCUAACACCAACCGAUUUUUCACCAAGAAAUGGUCUCCACCAGAAAUCUAAGAAUGUGAUCUAUGGCAAGGAAACAUAUGUGGGUGAGGUGUACGAGCUUCUAGUUGAAGAUCCAAGGCCACACAAUCCCUAUUAAUGUUGAAAAUAGCAUGUACGACCAUUUUCAAUAAUAUCGAAGGCUAACACCUACGGAUUUUUGACCAAGAAAUGGUCUCCACAAAAAAUCCUAGAAUGUGAUCUAUGACAAGAAAACAUAUGUGGGGUGAGGUGUACGAGCCUCUAGUCGAUGAUCAAUGGCCACACAACUCCCAUUUUUGUCAAAAAUAGCAUGAAGGACCAUUUUCAAUAAUACCGAAGGCUAAAACCAAGAAUGCGAUCUAUGGCAAGUAAACAUAUGUGGGGUGAGGUGUACGAGCCUCUAGUCUAUGAUCAAUGGCCACACAACCUUCAUUUUUGCCGAAAAUAGCCUUGAACGACCAUUUUCAACAAUACCCAAGGCUAACACCUACAGAUUUGUGACCAAGAAACGGUCUCCCCCAAAAAUUCAAGAAUGUGAUCUAUGGCAAGGAAACAUAUGUGGGGUCAGGUGUAUGUUCCUCUGGUCGAUGAUCAAUGGCCACACAACCCCCAUUUUUGUCCAAAAUAUCAUGAAUGACCAUUUUCAAUAAUACCGAAGGCUAACACCUAUGGAUUUUUGACCAAGUAAUGCCUCCACCAAAAAUCCAAGAAUGUGAUCUUUGACAAGGAAACAUAUGUGGGGUAAGGUGUAUGAUCCUUUGGUCGAUGAUCAAUGGCCACACAACCCCCAUUUUGUCGAAAAUAGCCAUAAACGACCAUUUUAAAUAAUACCGAAGGCUAACACCUACAUAUUUUUCUUACCAAGAAACAGUCUCAUACAGAAAUCCAAGAAUGUGAUCUAUGGCAAGGAAAGAUAUGUGGGGUGAGGUGUACGAGCCUCUGGUCAAUGAUCAAUGGCCACACAACCCCCAUUUUUGUCGAAAUAGCACGAACGACAAUUUUCAAUAAUACCGAAGGCUAACACCAACCGAUUUUUUACCAAGAAAUGGUCUCCACCAAAAAUCUAAGAAUGUUAUCUAUGGCAAAGAAACAUAUGUGGGUGAGGUGUACGAGCCUCUGGUUGAAGAUCAAAGGCCACACAACCCCUAUUAUUCUCGAAAAUAGCAUGAACGAGCAUUUUCAAUAAUAUCGAAGGCUAACACCUACGGAUUUUUGACCAAGAAAUGGUCUCCAUCAGAAAUCCAAGAAUGUGAUCUAUGGCAAGGAAACAUAUGUUGGGUGAGGUGAACGAGCCUCUGGUCAUUGAUCAAUGGCCACACACCCCAUUUUUGUCGAAAAUAUUCAUGAACGACCAUUUUCAAUAAUACCGAAGGCUAACACCUACGGAUUCUUGACCAAGAAAUGGUCUCCACCUGAAAUCCAAGAAUGUGACCUAUGGCAAGGAAACAUAUUGGGGUGAGGUGUACGAGCCUCUGGUCGAUGAUCAAUGGCCACACAACCCCCAUUUUUGUCAGGAAUAGCCAUGAACGACCAUUUUCAAUAAUACCGAAGGCUAACACCUACGGAUUUUUGACCAUGAAAUGGUCUCCACCAGAAAUCCAAGAAUGUGAAAUAUGGCAAGCAAACAUAUGUGGGGCGAGGUGUACGAGCAACUGGUCGAUGACCAAUGGCCACACAACCGCAUUUUUUGUUGAAAAUAGCAUGAACGAUCAUUUUCAAUAAUACCGAAGGCUAACACCUACAGAUUUUUGACCAAGAAAUGGUCUCCACCAGAAAUCCUAGAAUGUGAUCUAUGGCAAGAAAACAUACGUGGGGUGAGGUGUACGAGCCUCUGGUCGAUGAUCAAUGGCCACACAACUCCCAUUUUUGUCAAAAAUAGCAUGAAGGACCAUUUUCAAUAAUACCGAAGGCUAACACCUACGGAUUUUUUUACCUAGAAAUGGUCUCCACCAGAAAUUCAAGAAUGUGAUUUAUUGCAAGGAAAGAUAUGUGGGGUGAGGUGUACGAGCCUCUGGUCAAUGAUCAAUGGCCACGCAACCCACAUUUUUGUCGAAAAUAGAAUGAACGACCAUUUUCAAUAAUACCGAAGGCUAACACCAACCGAUUUUUCACCAAGAAAUGGUCUCCACCAGAAAUAUAAGAAUGCGAUCUAUGGCAAGGAAACAUAUGUGGGUGAGGUGUAUGAGCCUCUGGUUGAUGAUCAAUGGCCACACAACCCCCAUUUUUGUCAGAAAUAGCCAUGAACCAUUUUCAAUAAUGCCGAAGGCUAACACCUACGGAUUUUUGACAAUGAAAUGGUCUCCAUCAGAAAUCCAAGAAUGUGACCUAUGACAAGCAAACAUAUGUGGGGUGAGGUGUACGAGCAACUGGUCCAGGAUCAAUGGCCACACAACCCCCAUUUUUUCGAAAAUAGCCUGAACGAUCAUUUUUAAUAAUACCGAAGGCUAACACCUACGGAUUUUUGACCAAGAAAUGGUCUCCACCAGAAAUCCUAGAAUGUGAUCUAUGACAAGAAAACAAAUGUGGGGUGAGGUGUACGAGCCUCUGGUCGAUGAUCAAUGGCCACACAACUCCCAUUUUUGUCAAAAAUAGCAUGAAGGACCAUUUUCAAUAAUACCGAAGGCUAAAACCAAGAAUGUGAUCUAUGGCAAGGAAACAUAUGUGGGGAGCAGUGUUCGAGCCUCUAGUCUAUGAUAAAUGGCCACACAACCUUCAUUUUUGUCGUAAAUAGCAUUAACGACCAUUUUCAAUAAUACCGAAGGCUAACACCUACAGAUUUUUAACCAAGAUAUGGUCUCCACCAGAAAUGCAAGAAUGUGAUCUAUGGAAAGGAAACAUAUGUGGGGUAUGGUGUAUGAUCCUCUGAUUGAUGAUCAAUGGCCACACAACCCCCAUUUUUGUUAAAAAUAGCAUGAACGACCAUUUUCAAUAAUACCAAAGGCUAACACCUACGGAUUUUGACCAAGAAAUGGUCUCCACCAGAAAUCUAAGAAUUUUAUCUAUGGCAAGGAAAAUAGGUCAGGUGAGGUGUACGAGCCUCUGGUCGUUGAUCAAUGGCCACACAACCCUUAUUUUUGCCGAAAAUUGCAUCAACGACCAUUUUCAAUAAUACUGAAGGCUAACACCUAUGGAUUUUUGACCAAUAAAUGGUCUCCACCAAAAAUCCAAAAAUGUGAUCUAUGGCAUAGAAACAUAUGUGGGAUGAGGUGUACGAGCCUCUAGUCGAUGAUCAAUGGCCACACAACCCCUAUUUUUGUCGAAAAUAGCAUGAACGAUGAUUUUCAAUAAUAUCGAAGGUUAACACCUAUGGAUUUUUGACCAAGAAAUGGUCUCCACUAGUGUUGGGGCCAUGCUUCGUCGCCGAAGGUCGUGUAGGAACAAACACCUUCGGCAAAUCCGUUUAAACGCAGUGCCGAAGCUACCACUCACGAAGCUUCGGUACUAUAACGUAUAUAAAGACGAAGGUUCGAACCGACUUAAAGAUGAAAUGACUUCUUAGUCCAUAAGGGUCUGAGUCAUAAUUGUAAUACUUUGUAAGGGGCAUGAUUGUAAUUUCUCACAGGCUGCGUCUUGUGCCUAUAAAUAGAUGAACAGUACUCCUUUACUGUUCACGCAAUCCUGUAAUCAUCGACGCAUUACACUGGAUUUAUUGCUCUUUGCCAAGGCAAAGGUAUAAAUGUAUCUAAAUAUUGUGUUUUAAUAUUUAGGUUUGAAUAAUAAAAUAUAUGUAUAAUAAUAUUUGUCUUUGGUAUAAAUUUCUUUAAUGUUUCAUGUUUUAUUAUUGCUUAUAUUAUUUUGUAGAGUUGGUCACGAAGGUAAAAUCUUCGUGGUAUUUUUGCUUAUGGUCUUCGUCCGAAGUUCAUUAUGUCCUAAGGGAGAUAAUGCUUCAACGGAUGAAGGGCAUUAACAUUUAACAUUUUAUGUUGCCUUGUUCUUGAUUCAUAGCAUUUGAGAACAAGUCCCCACCAUUGGCGCCCACCUUCGGUGAACUCACUUCCACUUUCUGAGCUGAUGGCCUCGUUCAACAACAAAGCUAGCGCUGCUUCGGCUCCGAAGCUGGUGCUUCCAGUAACAGGCGGUUCAUGUUCAGAGCCAGCUAACAAGAAGCAGAAGAAGGAGGCACAGAGAAGGGUAUAGCAUGUCGGGGUACAGGGACCCUUCAUCAAGUCAUGAUGGUCUCAUAUCCCAAUUACCUUUUCCCAAGAGGACCUUCAGCUCAAGGAUUACCCUCACAAUGAUGCUAUGGUUAUUUCUUGUGUUAUCAAAGGAUUUCUGGUUCACAAUGUUCUGGUUGACACAGGCAGUGCAGCGGAUAUUAUAUUUGCUAAGGCCUUCAGACAGAUGCAAGAGCCCGAAGAUAAGAUCCAUGAUGCUACACGUCCCCUUUGUGGCUUCGGAGGAAGGCAGAUUGUAGCACUCGACAAGAUUACCAUGCCAGUGACCUUCGGAUUUGUCAACAAUACAAGGAAUGAGCAACUUGUGUUUGACAUUGUCGGCAUGGAGUACCCUUACAAUGCAAUCAUUGGUCGCGGAACACUCAAUGCUUUCGAAGGAAUUCUUCAUCCAGCAUAUCUUUGCAUGAAGAUACCUUCGGAUCAAGGACCUAUUGUUGUUCAUGGGAGUCAGGAAGCUGCCAGAAAGGCUGAGGGGAAUUGGACAGAUUCAAAGGCAAUCCACAACAUAGAUGAAGCCGAAGCUUGUGAACGGUACAAGUACAGAAGGGAGAAGGCUGCUUCGGCCAAUCAGUCGAAACCUAUGCUUUUAUGCGAAGAUAUUGCAGAGCAGAAGGUGCUGCUGGGAUCUCAAUUAUCUGAGGAACAGGAGAAAAACUUGAUAAGGUUUCUGUUCAACAACAAAGAUGUCUUUACAUGGUCAGCUAACGAUCUCUGUGGUGUUAACAGGGAUGUUAUUGAACACUCGCUCAAUGUCGAUCCAUCCUUCAGACCCAGAAAGCAGAGGCUUCGGAAGAUGUCUGAUGACAAGGCCGAAGGUGCUCGAAAUGAAGCAAAAAGACUUCUCAGUGCUGAAAUUCCUUGGUUGUCUGGUCUCGACAAAGGGAAUCGAAGCUAAUCCAAAUAAGAUCGAAGCUAUUCUUCGGAUGGAGCCGCCAAGCACAAAGAAGGGGGCUCAACGACUAACAGGAAGACUGGCAUCUCUCAAUCGAUUCAUAUCUAGAUCAGCAGAGAGAAAUUUGCCAUUCUUCGAAGUGCUGAAGUCAGCCAAAGUCUUUCAAUGGGGAUCAGCUCAGCAAAGAGCCUUCGAAGCGCUGAAACAAUAUUUGAUAGACCUAACGACGUUAACUCCACCAACGCCAGGGGCUCCUUUGUUGCUGUACGUGGCAGCUUCGCAUUCAGCAGUGAGUGCGGCACUUGUUCAAGAAAAACUUGAGGGACAAACCAAAAAGCAAGCCCCAAUAUACUUUGUCUCUGAAGUCCUUAGUCUAUCAAAGAAGAAUUAUACAGAAUUGGAGAAGGUCUUAUAUGCCGUCUUAAUGGCAUCUAGGAAGCUUCGGCAUUAUUUUCAAGCAUAUCAUAUAAUUGUUCCUUCGUCACAACCUUUGAAGGAUGUCAUGAGGAACAGAGAAGCUACUGGAAGAAUUGUAAAGUGGGCUGCGGAGCUCAAUGAGUUCAGCAUUGAUUAUGUGCACAGAUCCUCAAUACAAUCUCAGGCGUUAGCAGACUUCAUUGCCGAUUGGACGUCAGGGGCUCAUGGAGAAGAAACAACUAAAGAUACUGAAGUAUGGACGGUAUUUUGUGACGAUUCUUGGGGAACCUUCGGAGCAGGAGCAGCUGCUGUGUUGGUUGCACCCUCCAAAGUUAAAACUUGCUACGCAGCAAGACUUGAUUUUAGCUGCACAAAUAAUAUUGCUGAGUAUGAAGCUUUGCUUUUGGGUCUUCGGAAGUUAAAGGCAAUGGGGAUUAGAAGGGCGGUUCUUAAAACUGAUUCCCAGGUUAUUACUGGUCAUAUUGACAAGAGUUGUAAAGCAAGAGACCCAAAGCUUGAGAAAUAUUUAGACACGAUCUGAAGGAUUGAAGCUUCCUUUGAAGGGUUUUCUGUCAAAAAUAUUCCUCGAGGAGAAAAUGAACAUGCUGAUUUGCUAGCCAAGUCAGCAGCACAGGGGCUGCCCUUACCUUCGGAAGUAUUUUUUGAAUCAAUAAAAGCACCUUCGGUUGAACUUCUUGAAAGAGCAGUCCUCAAUAUUUCUCCUGUUCAUAGUGAAGAUUGGAGAACUGAGAUCAUCUCUUUCCUUCAGGGUAAUUUCCUUUUAGAUGACAAAGCUUAUAACAAGAGAAUAGAGGCAAGAGCUCGACCAUAUGUUAUAAUAGAAGGGGAGCUGUACAAGCAUGGAGUCUUUUCUCCGCUACUCAAAUGUUUAUCCAGAGCCGAAGGUAUAGAAUUGAUGAAGGAAAUACACGCAGGCCUGUGUGGAUUUCACAUUGGAUCUAGGCCUUUGCUGGGAAAAGUUUUUCGUCAAGGAUUUUAUUGGCCAAAGGCAGCUUCGGAUGCAGCGGAGCUAGUCCAAAAGUGCAAAGGCUGUCAGAAAUGCGCAAGAGAUCAAAAACAGCCUUCGUCUCUAACUCAAUUAAUACAACACACUUGGCCAUUGCAAAGGUGGGGCCUUGAUUUGUUAGGUCCGCUUCCACCAGGACAAGGAAAUUUAAAAUAUGUUGUAGUAGCAGUAGAAUAUUUUUCGAUGUGGAUUGAGGCGAAGCCUUUAGCCACAAUAACUUCGGUUACCAUUCAGAAAUUUUUCUGGCAAAAUAUCGUUUGUCGCUUCGGAGUACCGAAGGCCCUUACUUUGGAUAACGGAACACAGUUUGAUGCCGAAGCUUUUAAAGAGUUCUAUGGACAAAUUGGCACGAAGAUCCAUUUUGCAUCGAUUAGGCAUCCAGAGUCAAAUAGACUUGUCGAAAGAGCUAAUGGCAUCAUAAUGAUGGGAAUAAUGAAAUUAAUCUUCAAUCAGCCCAGAGGAAAAUGGCCAGAUGAAUUAAUUAAGGUAGUAUGGAGCCAUAAUACAACGACAUCAAGGUCAACAGGCUUUACUCCAUUCAAGUUAUUAUUUGGUGAUGAAGCAAUAACUCCGGAAGAAGCAAAAGCAGGAUCAAUAAGAACAGUGGCUUCGGCAGAAGACGAAGCUGAUUACUCUGUGGAUAAAGAUGCUAUAGAAGGGAUCAGGCUCCAGGCUGUGGAAAACAUCAAUAAAUACCAAGCCGAAACAAUAAAAUGGUGUGAUAGAAAGGUUCGGCUAAAGAAUAUCAAGCCAGGACAUUUGGUGCUUCGGAGAGUGGCUAACCCAGACACAGUAGGCAAGCUACAGCUGAAGUGGGAAGGACCUUUUCUGGUAGUAUCUUCGUCAAGACCCGGUUCUUACAGAUUGAAGGAUAUGGACGACAACGACAUUCCUAGAUCAUGGAAUGCGGAUGAGCUUCGACGAUAUUAUGUCUAGCUUGAUGUAAUUUUUCUAUUCUUUCUUAUGGCACCCUUUUCCUUUCCAAAGGGGGAGAAAGGUUUUUAACGGGGCCAUAGCAUGUAAUUUCUCUUUUUCUUAUUUCAGCUCUAUAAGAGCAAUAUCCCCCAAAGAUGUAAAUGUAAAAGCUGAGAACGCACCAUCGAGUGCAAACAAAAAAGAAAAGAAAACAGGCAGAAGCUCAAAAGUCGUUCCUAAGGGAAUGCAGAGCUUACAGCGAAAAAUAAAUGCUGAUUCCGCCGAAAUAGAAGGCGAAGAAGCUCCUAAGGGAGGCUUACAGCGAAAAAUAAACGCUGAUUCUGCCGAAAUAGAAGGCGAAGAAGCUCCUAAGGGAGGCUUACAGCAAAAAGUCAGCGCUGAUACACCGAAAAAUAAACGGUGAUGCCGAAAAACAAGCGGCAAAAAGAUUUGAGUCAUUCCUAAGGGAAUGAAAGCUAUGAUUAUGGCUUCGAAUAUAUAUUUGGACAUUCAUUUGCACGAUACAUUACAUUAUGACAUUUGCAUUCAUAAACAUUCAUUUAGACAUACAUAGGAUCAUUAUCAUCAUAUCAUACAGAAAAGCCAGAUGCUUCGACUUUGAGGAUAAAGCUUCGGAGAAAAACAGAAAGAAGAAAUUUUCAUGCUUCGUUGUGUACGAAAAGAAGGGAAGGUGUUUUUCGCCUUCGGCUCAAAAAGAAAAUUUCGUCCACAGCAAAGCAGAUCGUACACGGACAAAGGGGAAAAGAUAUAUUACAAGGUACGCACAAAUUUACAAAAGUUUCUUUACAAUCAUAUUACAAAAUUUUCUCUAGAAUCUUCUGCAGCAAAGUCUUUCGAAACAUCUGUUAAGGCUUCAGCUCGUCAUUCUUUAGCUUCAUCAUCCUGUACAUAUUAAAAUGGAAUGAGCAAAGUGCAGAGUUCAAGGAGAAGGUAAAAGUAACAAGUAUAAGUUUCUCACUGGUUUAAGGUGGCUUUGAGCUUCGUCACCAGCCAUUUUCGCCCGCCGUUUAUCCAAAUUUGAGUCAUAAACCUGUUUCCUAUACUUCGAGCUAGGCUGGGAAUGUCAAUCAAAUCUGCUGGUGACAAACUGAAGUUUGGCCUAUUAACAAUUUUCCCGUGCGUGCAGCCAGUCUUCAGGAAAGCAGUAGCUGUGCCUCGAGAAGCUAACAGGGUGCAGAAAUCGGCAUGCCCAGCGAUAACUUCGUCAAGUGCAUCAACUUCGCCCUCAAUAUAUUCAAAGGUGCUCGGCAGAUUUUCAACUGAAGGUGUAAACUUAUCAGAGCUGGCUCCAAUUGAGUGAAAGAUAUCCUUCAGCCGUUGCACGCAUCGGUUGCUGAAGUCUAAACAUUUAUCCUGAAGCUCUUUCAAUGAUUUCUGCAAACUUGAAUUCUUCUCAAUUUCGGUUUUAAAAUUCGUUUCAAGAUUCUUCUUUUCUUGCUCAGAUUUUUCUGAUUUUGUGAGUAAUUUGCUGUUUAACCUGUCAAUUUCGGCUUGAGCUUCUGCUAGCGAACCCUCCAUAGAGUGGAUGACGAAGUCCUUUUUCUCCAAAGCAGCUUCGUGUUCUUUGACUUUAUUUUCUAGAUCUUUAAUUGUAGCUUCGUUUUUCUCGUCUUCGAGAUCUUGUUGCAUCCUCAGCACUUUACUUAAUAAUAUACUCUGCCAAAACAACCUUCAUCAGAAAACAUCUUAAUUCAAAAAAUAAUAAAAAGUUAAGAGUUUUACCUUAAAAUUAGCAUAGAACAAGCUACCGACGAUAUGAUGUCGCUGGUACCUGCAGAGGUCCGCCUCAAUCUUCGACAGGCCAACAUUCUUCGAGAAAGUCCUAACAACCUUUGCCUCGGUUCGAUUCCGAAGGCACCUCAAUUUCCCUUCAUUAACUCCGCCAAACAGCAAAGCCCCUGGUUUGUACCCACAGGAUACAACAUAUUUCUUCAGUUCUUCCUUUUCAGUUUCUGAUAACUCUUGCCCUAGUAUAUCUUGAAAAUUGAAGUUUUCCUCUUCCGAAGUAUCUUCAAUUUGUUCUUUUCCUUUCUCAAUUAUUGUGUCCACCACGACCGCAGCAGCAUCUUCCUCAGCCAUUUUUAGAAGCAUGUUAUCAAUAUCACUGUGGCGGAACUGCCCGAAUUAUUCCAACUUAAGUGCCUAAGUCCCGCCUUAGAGGCUAGACCACACUUAAAUGGGAAUAACCCGUAAGUCCCUCGGAUCUAGUCCGACACGGCCACUGACAGAAUCAAGUACCACAAUCUCACUCGAUGGUGAGUCACAGAGCAAAUACAAUAAAGCAUAAAACCAUGCAUUAAAGAGUAUUAAAUUAUUACAUCAUCAUCGGAGUUUUGCAAAAGUAGUCAUCAUUGUUCGAAGUGCAGCGGAAUAAAACUAACGGUAAAUAAACAGAGAGAUGGGGAAGCCUGUCCCAUCACUCCUCAUGCUCCUCCUCAGCCGAGGUAGGGUCCCACUCGACAGUCCAACCCGGUGGCAAGAUGGACGGCCAAGUCACUCCAGCAACCAUGUCCUCCAGAGAACCUGUAAAAUUAUGCCACAAGCAAGGGUGAGUAUACUAAUACUCAGCUAGACUUACCCGGUGUGAGGAGUCUACUCCUCUACCUCUAGACAUGCAGCUGUUUGGCUGUGGGGUUUGGUUGCCAAAAGCACUAGCUGAGUUUCUAAGUCAAGUUUUAACUUUGUCAAAUUUAAGUGUGACUCUCUUAAGGCUAAAAGUGUACUAUCUACUCAUACAUGGUAUCAAACAUUUUUAGCAAUCAACCUCUUUUGUCAACUCAUCACAUUUCCACUUGUUACUCAAUGUAGCAGCAUGGAUCAAAUAGUCUCAUUAGCUGCGAGAAGCAGACGAUUCGAAUCGAGUUUUAUCCUUGCAAGGUAAACCUAAACACACGACAUGUAGGGGCACUCCGUCCCCACACACAUCAACCGUCCCCAUCGAUUCCCCGUCAGCAGAUCAGGGCUCACCGCCUUGGCGUACAAUGCCUCACUGACCCGACUGCCGUCGUGCAGUGACCGCACUUGUACCCACCAUAACCGGAAUGGGAGACCACGUCUCAGGUCGCGUGAGGGGUAAAGUCUACUGCCAGGUUCAAUCAGGUACUAGGCUUACCGAUUUACCAUAUUUCUCGGCAUGUGCUUAGUACGUUCAAACGCUUGACUCACGGUACCACACCUUAAUCCUUAUUCCAAUUUUUAUCCUAUGGACAACCAAUCCCCCUGGAUUGUUGCCCACAACCCAACAUCAAUAUGAUAAGAAAGUGGAUACAGCCAAUUCCUGACCUCGCACGAGUGCUAGAAAAAUCACUCGACUUCUACCGAGAUCCUAAUUAAUAAAGCAGCUACUCGACUUAGCAUACUAGUAUUCAUCUCAAUGGGAUUCCUGAGAUCAUGCAACUAGGGUUUCAAACAACUCCUACACUUAAGUGCACAAUCAAUCCUACAAUCAUUAAGUAUAUUAAAAUAACAUAAUUAACAGGUUAUGCAUAAACCGGGGCUUGCCUUCCAAGGCUGUGGCAGGCAGAUCCUCUGGUGCAGGCUCGGGUGCUGGAUCCGGGGCUACCUCCUGAGCAGCUCCUUGCUCCGGCACGAGGACGUACUCUCCGUCAGCAAGGUUAUAGUCUAUCGAAAUGCAAUGAACAUGUAUGUCAUGAUUAUGCAGGAUUUAAUAACAUUAUGCUAAGAGAAGAAAAACUAAGUUAAUGAGUAACUUAGGGUUUCUGGGUCAUACGUGGCUUUUAGUGGUUUAUGCUUAUCACUCUAGGUUUAGGUUUUGUUAGGGCUAGGCAUAGUGAAUUGGUAUUGCCUUUAUAUAUUUCAGUGGAUAGGUUAUAAAGGGUUUUAGGAUGACACUAAUUCCUAUUAUUCAUUUUUCCCUUUCUUUAUUUUCUAUUUAUGGUUUCUAGUGUAGGUUUGAACUACAACAGUGGUUUAACUUUUUCCAAAAAUUCUGUAAAAAUUACAGUGGGUUGCCAUUGGUAAUUAUAGCCUGUUCUAGGAAUUUGAGGUUUAAAAUAAAAAGGCUAUGCUUUAGACAAAAAUAACAAAAGUUGUGUAAAAUGGGCCACUUUGCACUACAUCUCUUAAUUAGGGGUGGGUUCUGUCCUAAGGAUUAUUUUUGUUGGCCUCUAACAGUAAUAAUAAGCUUCUGUGCCAAAGAUCACAGAAAGCUAAGGGAUGGUUAUUUAGUUAUGAUUUUCUAAAGGUUAAUGCCAAAAAGGCACUUUCUACUACAUUGUUAUUUGAAAAAUGUCAAACAGCAGAUUUCAUAUUUUUCCUAAGUUCUUACUAAGAAAACAUUAAUUAUCCCAAGGGUUGGGGUGUUUUCACCUUGGGGUCAUUUUUGUAGGGUUUUUCUAAGUGUUCCUUAUUUUCCUAAAAUAAAAGGGAUCCUACUCAUUUUAUAUUAAACCAGGGUAUAAUAGAUUUUUCUAGUGAACUACAUUGAAUAAGUACUCUAACAAAAAUAGGAGUGCCCUCUGGUUCAUCAUUUUAAUCACCUUUUCUAUUUUUCUAAAUCUUAAGCAUAUUGUAAAAUAAAUGGCAAAAACUAACUUAAUGGGUUGGACAGAGAAGUUUAGCAUUUUUAAACAGGUCAGUAGGUGGCCAUAAGCUUCUCCAAAUUUUUCUAACCUUAGUCAAAUAGUGCAACCAUUUUUAAUUCUAUUAUUUAGCUUUUGGUCAAAACAAUAAUUAAAUCAGAACCCUAAAGUUUUCUGUAGUACAUAGGGGUUUUAUAUUUUUCCUAAGCAGUUUACAUUAUUUAAAGUCUAACAAAAUUGGUUUGACUAAAUUUGGAUGAAUAAAACAGAAGUUAUGAAUUAUUCAAGUUCUGUUCAAAAUUUAAAUCAGAUUUAAUAAAGGUUUCCUGGAAAACUACUUUGCGCCGAGGACCCUGGGUUUAAUCCAAAUCAAUCCACUCAAAUCUACCCCUGCGCCAAUAUUCAUUUGAGUCACUGACAUUUCACAAAACCCCCCAGACUUCUUUCCUUCUCCCCCGCGGUCCUUCCCUAGGUUUAAACAGUACCCGCAAGAAAGAAAAGGGUGGCGCGGCUUACCGGCAGCGAGGGAGGUCCGGCGAGGGGCAGGGUUGGCUCGGGGAGGCUCUGGCGGUCACAGCGAUGUACGGCUCGACGGCAGGGAUGGUCGGAAUCGCUCGGUCCACGUGCGCAGGCGGGUAUCCUCGUCGGUGGCGGGUGUGCCUGCCAAAUCACGGCGAUCUGGUUCAAUCCAAUGGCACGGUGAGCUUCACGGGGUGAUGUAGAGGCUAGCUGUGCCUUGAAUCGAAAAAUGGCGCUGUGGCUUACCCGGUCUACGUUCGCCGUGGUCGGAGGGAUUCCGGCGACCGUGGACUGGCCUCUCCGGCGAAGCAGACUUCGAUUCCUCGCUCGGGGAGCUUCUCCGAGGUGUGCUCAGUCGUCUCCGAGGGUCGGACGGGGUUGGGAAAGGCUGGGCUGGCCGGUCUACGGCGGCAGGGGCUCGGGUGGCCGCGGACACGCCGUGCACGGGCAAACGACGGUGAGUUUGAGCCCCGGUGAGGUUGAGUGUGCGCGGAAGGGUAUGGUCGACGCUUGAGUGGGCUUUAUAGGCGCGGGCGCGGGCCAUGGCAUCGGCUGGCCUUUGGCGCGACGCGGGGCGCGCGCGGGCGUGCUCUGGCGUGCACAGAGCGCGUCGAACACGUGUAGGUUUUCUUCUGCCCAUGUUCCACAGCUCGCCCAAGUCGCAAACGUGCGAAUCUUGGCAAAAAUCCGACGCGAGUCUUUCCUGGCACCUAGGGCUGUCUCUCAUCCGUGAGUCGCCAUGGCAGAUAUGCCCUAGGUAGGGAGAUCUUUGGAUGCCAAAUCAGGUAUGUCUCUCUACCCACCUCGCGACAAAAACAAUGCCAAGGCAUGUCAAACGUCAAGGUCUCGGGCUCAACUUUUUCCAGUGGGUGCCCUAGGUGGUAUGCCACAUUUUUGGUAUAGAACUUAGGUGGUUUUGAUGCCAUCUUCAAGGUGAACACGAUUGAUCUUUAGAUUAGGUGUAGUUUUUGACUUAGAGAGAAUUUGAGAGCUCUAGCUCUUUCUCUACUUAAGGAAGGGAUUUGGGGUUUCUCAAGGGGUCUUUUUGCAACAUUUCCUUCCUAUAUUUGCUGGUUAUAAAGUUACUUAAAGUUUGGUUAAAAAUUAACUCAUGAUUUGCACAUUUGCUUAUUCUCCCCCCUCUCAACCAUGGUUUUGGGAGAUAGGGUUCAAGAGGGGUCUAGGGUUUACUCUCCUCUUGCCGAGGAUCUCGUUGCACAUAACCUCAAUUGUGUCCAACCACUCUUGGCAAGGUGCUUUAAAAUGUUUCUUAAACUUGAAAUAAUAAGGUAGCCGAACAAGCUCUUUCUUCUUCUCCCCUUUCAGCUUCGGCAUGUCCCAUUCCUUCAAAGUUGGGAAUACUCUGAAGGCUAAGAAUUCUUGGACCAGAUCCCUGGUGCCAAUGUGCUCUGCAACAACCCGAAAUUCGCCCAGUGCAAUCUGGCACGGACUAUCUAGAGACAUGACGCAUUGGGGUUUAGUUUCUCCGAAGGUUAAACUCAAAGGGCUCUAAACUAGUUUCUCCUUCUUCUCAUCUACUUUGACAUAAAACCACUCACUCUUCCAGCCAGCUGGCCAUUUUGUACGAUAGCUGAUAACUGGAUACUUGGCAUCUUUCUGAUAUGCAAAAUUGUAGCAGCCAAAAUUAUCAUGCAGCCCAUCUUCUCUAGCUUUUGUUUGGUAAUGAAGCUCGUGUGCCCGGCAAAAACCUUCGGCAAACAGCUCUACCUCCUGUCUUCGGAGUGCCCAGAUGUAAACACUAAGCCUAACAAUGGCGUUAGGAGUUAACUGAUGAAGGUGAAUCCCAAAUCUCUCUAAAACAUCUGCAAUCAUCCCAUGCAGGGGAAACCUUAACCCUACUUUGAAAAAGCUCUUAAAAACCACCACCUCAUCUUUUUAUGGCUUCGGGGUAAUUUCCUCUCCUCCGAAGCGAAUCAGCUCCUUUUUGUCUUCGCUAAAAUAGCCUAGCUUCAGUAACUUAGCCAUAUCACCUUCGGUAAUAGUAGACUUCCCAAACUCUAAGUGGCUGGGUUUAGAUGGCGUUGCACCGUACUCAUCUUCAAAUUCAUCUUCUUCAACAUCAGCUUGUUUUGCUUCGGCGGCAGAUGUAUCCCCUGAUGUUGCCAGCCCAGACCGCCUCAUUGCUUCGGAAAUCGGAACAGUUUCAGUGGCUUCGGUCUCAUCUCCCUCACGCUCAACCCUGGCAGUGGAACACACUCUAGCCAUUUGAUUAUGAAUUUCUAGAAGUUUUUUGAAAUUAACGACCUUUUUUCCGAAGCUCUUCUUGUGACGAAGCAGAAUCCUAUGUGGUGCUUCGUUUGAAGUGCAAGGGUCAAGCUUCGGCUAUGGUUAAAUUCCUGGCAGCAAAACAGUGCAAUAGCAAUGAAUGCUGUGGUAACUUCACACCUACUCGUCUGUUUAUAUAGUGCUGCAGGUAAGAAGGUGAAUCGUCAAGUCUCUUACACCGGACGAACAGUCGCCCGCACCCACUGAACGGUGGGCCACAAAACCCGAGAAGGUGAAUCUGCAUGGUGGGACUAUUCUGCGCUCGGAAAUUUUAUCGUUUCCCGGCAACGAGCUCAGGGAAGGUGUUUUUCGGACCUUUGGCUUCCCGAAGCCUAAGAGACUUUUUCACGAAUCAAGUUCGUUACGAAAAACGAUCUAGCACCGCGAAGGGGCUACUGUUGGGGCCAUGCUUCGUCGCCGAAGGUCCUGCAGGAACAAACACCUUCGGCAAAUCCGUUUAAAUGCAGUGCCGAAGCUACCACUCAUGAAGCUUCGGUACUAUAACGUAUAUAAAGGCGAAGGUUCGAACCGACUUAAAGAUGAAAUGACUUCUUAGUCCAUAAGGGUCUGAGUCAUAAUUGUAAUACUUUGUAAGGGGCAUGAUUGUAAUUUCUCACAGGCUGCGUCCUGUGCCUAUAAAUGGAUGAACAGUACUCCUUUAUUGUUCACGCAAUCCUGUAAUCAUCGACGCAUUACACUGGAAUUAUUGCUCUUUGCCAAGGCAAAGGUAUAAAUGUAUCUAAAUAUUGUGUUUUAAUAUUUAGGUUUGAAUAAUAAAAUAUAUGUAUAAUAAUAAUUGUCUUUGGUAUAAAUUUCUUUAAUGUUUCAUGUUUUAUUAUUGCUUAUAUUAUUUUGUAGAGUUGGCCACGAAGGGAAAACCUUCGUGGUAUUUUUGCUUAUGGUCUUCGUCCGAAGUUCAUUAUGUCCUAAGGGAGAUAAUGCUUCAACCGGACAAAGGGCAUUAACAUUUAACAUUUUAUGUUGCCUUGUUCUUGAUUCAUAGCAUUUGAGAACAAGUCCCCAACAACUAGAAAUCUAAGAAUGUGAUCUAUGGCAAGGAAACAUAUGUGGGGUGAGGUGUAUGAGCCUCUGGUCGAUCAUCAAUGGCCACGCAACCCCCAUUUUUGCCGAAAUAGCAUAAACGACCAUUUUCAAUAAUAUCGAAGGCUAAUACCUAUGAAUUUUUGACCAAGACAUGGUCUCCAACAGAAAUCCAAGUAUGUGUUCUAUGGUAAGAAAACAUAUGUGGGGUGAGGUGUAUGAUCCUCUGGUCGAUGGUCAAUAGCCACACAACCCCCAUUUUUGACGAAAAUAGCCAUGAACGACCAUUUUCAAUAAUACAGAAAGCUAACACCUACGUAUUUUUUACCAAGAAAUGGUGUCCACUAGAAAUCCAGUAAUGUGAUCUAUGGCAAGGAAAAAUAUGUGGGUGAGGUGUAUGAGCCUUUGGUCAAUGAUCAAUGGCCACAGAACACACAUUUUUGUCGAAAAUACCAUGAACGACCAGUUUCAAUAAUACCGAAGGCUAACACCAACAGAUUUUUCACCAAGAAAUGGUCUCCACCAGAAAUCUAAGAAUGUGAUCUAUGGCAAGGAAACAUAUGUGGGUGAGGCGUACGAGCCUCUUGUUGAAUAUCAAAAGCCACACAACCCUUAUUUUUGUUGAAAAUAGCAUGAACGACCAUUUUCAAUAAUACCAAAGGCUAAAACCUACUGAUUUUGACCAAGAAAUGGUCUCCACCAGAAAUCCAAGAAUGUGAUCUAUGGCAAGGAAACAUAUGUGGGGUGAGGUGAAUGAGCCUCUGGUCAUUGAUCAAUGGCCACACAACCCCCAUUUUUUCGAAAAUAGCCAUGAACGACCAUUUUCAAUAAUACCGAAGGCUAACACCUACGGAUUUUCGACCAAGAAAUAAUCUCCACUAGAAAUCCAAGAAGGUGAUCUAUGGCAAGGACACAUAUGUGGGGUGAGGUAUAUUAGCAUUUGGUCAAUGAUCAAUGGCCACAAAACCCCCAUUUUUGUCGAAAAUAGCAUGAACAACCAUUUUGAAUAAUACAGAAGGCUAACAUCAAUGGAUUUUUCACCAAGAAAUGGUCUCCACCAGAAAUCCAAGGAUGUGAUCUAUGGCAAGGAAACAUAUAUGGGAUUAGGUAUUCGAGCCUCUGGUUGAUGAUCAAAGGGGACAGAACCCCUAUUUUUGUCGAAAAUAUCAUGAACGACCAUUUUCAAUAAUACCUAAGGCUAACACCUACACAUUUUUGACCAAGAAAUGGUCUCCACCAGAAAUCCAACAAUAUGAUCUAUGGCAAGGAAACAUAUGUGAGGUGAGGUAAACGAGCCUCUAGUCAAUGAUCAAUAGCCACACAACCCCCAUUUUUGUCGAAAAUAGCCAUGAACGACCAUUUUCAAUAAUAUUGAAGGCUAACACCUACAGAUUUUUGACCAACAAAUGGUGUCCACCAAAAAUCCAAGAAUCUGAUCUAUGGCAAAAAAACAUAUGUGGCUGAGGCGAACGAGCCUCUGGUCAAUGAUCAAUGGCCACACAACCCCCAUUUUUGUCGAAAAUAGCCAUGAACGACCAUUUUCAAUAAUACCGAAGGCUAACACGUACAGAUUUUUGACCAAGAAAUGGUCUCCACCAGAAAUCCAAGAAUGUGACCUAUGGCAAGAAAACAUAUGUGGGGUGAGGUGUACGAGCCUCUAGUCGAUGAUCAAUGGCCAGACAACCCCCAUUUUUGUCGGUAAUAGCCAUGAACGAACAUUUUCGAUAAUAUCGAAGGCUAACACCUACGUAUUUUUGACCAAGAAAUGGUCUCCACCAGAAAUCCAAGAAUGUGAUCUAUGGCAAGGAAACAUAUGUGGGGUGAGCUAUAUGUGCCUCUCGUCGAUGAUCAGUGGCCACACAACUCCUAUUUUUGUCGAAAAUAGCCAUGAACGACCAUUUUCAGUAAUACCGAAGGCUAACACCUACAGAUUUUUGACCAAGAAAUGGUCUCCACCAAAAUCCAAGAAUGUGAAAUAUGGCAAGGAAAUGUAUGAGGGGUGAGGUGUACGAUCAUCAUUUGAUGAUCAAUAGCCACACAACCCCUAGUUUUGUUGGAAAUAGCCAUGAACGACUAUUUUCAAUAAUAUCGAAGGCUAACACCUACGGAUUUUUGACCAAGAAAUAUUCUCUACCAAAAAUCUAAGAAUGUGAUCGAUGGCAAGGAAACAUAUAUGGGGUGAGGUGUACGAGCCUCUGGUCGAUGAUCAAUGGCCACAGAACCCCUAUUUUUGCCAAAAAUUGCAUGAACGACCAUUUUCAAUAAUACCGAAGGCUAACACCUACAAAUUUUUGACCAAUAAAUGUAGGUGUUAGCAUGAAUGACCAUAGGCUCGUACACCUCACCCCACAUAUGUUUCCUUGCCAUAGAUCACAUUCUUGGAAUUCCGGUGGAGACCAUUUCUUGGUCAAAAAACCGUAGGUGUUAGCAUUCGGUAUUAUUGAAAAUGUUCGUUCAUUCUAUUUUUGACAAAAAUGGGGUUGUGUGGCCAUUGAUCAUCAUCCAGAGGCUCGUACACCUCACCCCACAUAUGUUUCCCUGCCAUAGAUCACAUUCUUGGAUUACAGGUGGAGACCAUUUCUUGGUCAAAAAUCUGUAGGUGUUAGCCUUCGAUAUAAUUGAAAAUGGUCGUUCAUGGCUAUUUUCGACAAAAAUGGGGGUUGUGUGGCCAUUGAUCAUUGACUAGAUGCUCGUACACCUCACCCUACAUAUGUUUCCAUGCCAUAGAUCACAUUCUUGGAUUUCUGGUUGAGAUCAUUUCUCGGUCAAAAAUCCAUAGUGUUAGCCUUCGGUAUUAUUGACAAUGGUCAUUCAUGGCCAUUUCCUACAAAAUGGGGGUUGUGUGGCCAUUGAUCAUCGACCAGAGGCUCGUACACCUCACCCCACAUAUGUUUCCUUGCCAUAGGUCACAUUCUUGGAUUUUUGGUGGAGACCAUUUCUUGGUCAAAAAUCCGUAGGUGUUAGCCUUCGGUAUUAUUGAAAAUGAUCGUUCAUGGCUAUUUUCGAAAAAAUGGGGGUUGUGUGGCCAUUGAUCAUCGUCCAGAGGAUCCUACACCUCACCCCACAUAUGUUUCAUUGACAUAGAUCUCAUUCUUGUAUUUUUGGUGGAGACCAUUUCUUGGUAAAAAAUUUGUAGGUGUUAGCCUUCGGUAUUAUUGGAAAUGGUCGUUCAAGGCUAUUUUCGACAAAAAUGGGGGUUGUGUGGCCAUUGAUCAUUGACCAGAGUCUCGUUCACCUCAGCCCACAUAUGUUUCCUUGCCAUAGAUCACAUUCUUGGAUUUCUGGUGGAGACCAUUUCAUGGUCUAAAAUCCGUUGGUGUUAGCCUUCGGUAUUAUUGAAAAUGGUCGUUCAUGCUAUUUUUGACAAAAAUAGGGAUUGUGUGGCCAUUGAUCAUCAAUCAAAGGCUCGUACAGCUCUCUCCACAUAUGUUUCAUUGCCAUAAAUUACAUUCUUGGAUUUUUGGUGCAGACCAUUUCUUGGUCAAAAAUCUGUAGGCGUUAGCCUUCGGUAUUAUUGAAAAUGGUCGUUAAUGGCUAUUUCCGACAAAAAUGGGGGUUGUGUGGCCAUUGAUCAUCGACCGGAGGCUCGUACACCUCACCCCACAUAUGUUUCCUUGCCAUAAAUCACAUUAUGGAUUUCUGGUGGAGACCAUUUCUUGGUCAAAAAUCCGUAGGUGUUAGCCUUCAGUAUUAUUGAAAAUGGUCAUUCAAGCUAUUUUCGACAAAAUAGGGGUUGUGUGGCCAUUAAUCAUCAACCUGAGGUUUGUACACCUCACUCCACAUAUGUUUCCUUGCCAUAGAUCACAUUCUUGGAUUUCUGGUGGAGACUAUUUCUAUGUCAAAAAUCCAUAGGUGUUAGCCUUUGGUAUUAUUGAAAACAGUCGUUCAUGCUAUUUUCGACAAAAAUGGUUGUUGUGUGGCCAUUGAUCAUCGACCAGAGGCUUGUGCACCUCGCCCCACAUAUAUUUCCUUGCCAUAGAUCACAUUCUUAGAUUUCUAGUGGAGACCAUUUCUUGGUCCAAAAUCCGUAGGUGUUAGCCUUGGGUAUUAUUGAAAAUGGUCGUUCAAGCUAUUUUCCACAAAAAUGGGGGUUGUGUGGCCAUUGAUCAUCGACCAGAGGCUCGUACUCCUGACCCCACAUAGGUCACAUUCUUGGAUAUUUAGGGGAGACCAUUUCUUGGUCAAAAAUCUUUAGGUGUUAGUCUUCGGUGUUAUUGGAAAUGGUCGUUCAAGGCUAUUUUUGACAAAAGUUGGGGUUGUGUGGCCAUUGAUCAUUGACCAGAGGUCGUUCGCCUCACCCCACAUAUGUUUCCUUGCCAAAGAUCACAUUCUUGGAUUUCUAGUGGAGACCAUUUCUAGGUCAAAAAUCCAUAAGUGUUAGCAUUCGGUAUUAUUGAAAACAGUCGUUCAUGCUUUUUCGACAAAAUGGUUGUUGUGUGGCCAUUCAUCAUCGACCAGAGGCUCAUACACCUCACCCCACAUAUGUUUCCUUGCCAUAGACCACAUUCUUGGAUUUCUGGUGGAGACCAUUUCUUGGUCCAAAAUCCGUAGGUGUUAGCCUUGGGUAUUAUUGAAAAUGGUCAUUCAUGUUAUUUUCCAGAAAAAUGUGGGUUGUGUGGCCAUUGAUCAUUGACCAGAGGCUCGUACUCUUGACCCCACAUAUGUUUCCUGGCCAUAUAUCACAUUCUUUGAUUUCUGGUGGAGACCAUUUCUUGGUCAAAAAUCCGUAGGUGUUAGCCUUUGGUAUUAUUGAAAAUGGUCGUUCAUGCUAUUUUCAACAAAAAUAGGAGUUGUGUGGCCAUUGAUCAUCGACCAGAGUCUCGUACACCUCUCCCCACAUUUGUUACCUUGCCAUUGAUAACAUUCUUGGAUAUCUAGUGGAGACCAUUUCUUGGUCAAAAAUCCGUAGGUGUUAGCCUUUGGUAUUAUUGGAAAUAGUCGUUCAAGGCUAUUUUUGACAAAAAUGGGGUUUGUGUGGCCAUUGAUCAUCGAUCAGAGGUUCGUUCACCUCAGCCCACAUAUGUUUCCUUGUCAUAGAACACAUUCUUGGAUUUCUGGUGGAGACCAUUUCUUGGUCCAAAAUCCAUAGGUGUUAGCCUUGGGUAUUAUUGGAAAUGGUCGUUCAUGUUAUUUUCCACAAAAAUGUGGGUUGUGUGGCCAUUGAUCAUCGACCAGAGGCUCGUACUCUUGACCCCACAUAUGUUUCCUAGCCAUAUAUCACAUUCUUUGAUUUCUGGUGGAGACCAUUUCUUGGUCAAAAAUCCGUAGGUGUUAGCCUUCGGUAUUAUUGAAAAUGGUCGUUCAUGCUAUUUUCGACAAAAAUAGGAGCUACGAGGCAAUUGAUCAUCGACUAAAGUCUCGUACACCUCUCCCCACAUUUGUUACCUUGCCAUUGAUAACAUUCUUGGAUAUCUAGUGGAGACCAUUUCUUGGUCAAAAAUCUAUAGGUCUUAGCCUUUGGUAUUAUUGUAAAUAGUCGUUCAAGGCUAUUUUCGAAAAAAUGGGGGUUGUGUGGCCAUUGAUCAUUGACAAGAGGCUCGUUUACCUCACCCCACAUAUGUUUCCUUGACAUAGGUCACAUUCUUGGAUAUUUAGGGGAGACCAUUUCUUGGUCAAAAAUCUGUAGGUGUUAGUCUUUAGUAUUAUUGGAAAUGCUCGUUCAAGGCUAUUUUUGACAAAAGUGGGGGUUAUGUGGCCAUUGAUCACUGACCAGAGGCUCGUUCACCUCACCCCACAUAUGUUUCCUUGCCAAAGAUCACAUUCUUGGAUUUCUGGUUGAGACCAUUUCUAGGUCAAAAAUCCAUAAGUGUUAGCAUUCGGUAUUAUUGAAAACAGUCGUUCAUGCUUUUUCGACAAAAAUGGUUGUUGUAUGGCCAUUCAUCAUUGACCAGAGGCUCAUACACCUCACCCCACAUAUGUUUCCUUGCCAUAGACCACAUUCUUGGAUUUAUGGUGGAGACCAUUUCUUGGUCCAAAAUCCGUAGGUGUUAGCCUUGGGUAUUAUUGAAAAUGGUCGUUCAUGUUAUUUUCCACAAAAAUGUGGGUUGUGUGGCCAUUGAUCAUCGACAAGAGGCUCGUACUCCUGACCUCACAUAUGUUUCCUAGCCAUAUAUCACAUUCUUUGAUUUCUGGUGGAGACCAUUUCUUGGUCAAAAAUCCGUAAGUGUUAGCCUUCGGUAUUAUUGAAAAUGGUCGUUCAUGUUAUUUUCCACAAAAAUGUGGGUUGUGUGGCCAUUGAUCAUCGACCAGAGGCUCGUAAUCCUGACCCCACAUAUGUUUCCUGGCCAUAUAUCACAUUCUUUGAUUUCUGGUGGAGACCAUUUCUUGGUCAAAAAUCCGUAGGUGUUAGCCUUCGGUAUUAUUGAAAAUGGUCGUUCAUGCUAUUUUCGACAAAAAUAGGAGCUGUGUGGCCAUUGAUCAUCGACCAGAGUCUCAUACACCUCUCCCCACAUUUGUUACCUUUCCAUUGAUAACAUUCUUGGACAUCUAGUGGAGACCAUUUCUUGGUCAAAAAUCCGUAGGUGUUAGCCUUUGGUAUUAUUGGAAAUAGUUGUUUAAAGCUAUUUUCGACAAAAAUGGGGGUUGUGUGACCAUUGAUCAUCGACCAGAGGCUCGUUCACCUCAGCCACAUAUAUUUCCUUGUCAUAGAUCACAUUCUUGGAUUUCUAGUGGAGACCAUUUCUUGGUCCAAAAUCCUUAGGUGUUAGCCUUGGGUAUUAUUGAAAAUGGUCGUUCAUGUUAUUUUCCACAAAAAUGGGGGUUGUGUGGCCAUUGAUCAUCAACCAGAGGCUCGUACUCCUGACCCCACAUAUGUUUCCUGGCCAUAUAUCACAUUCUUGGAUUUCUGGUGGAGACCAUUUCUUGGUCAAAAAUCCGUAGGUGUUAGCCUUCGGUUUUAUUGAAAAUGGUCGUUCAUGCUAUUUCCGUCAAAAAUAGGAGCUGUGUGGCCAUUGAUCAUCGUCAAGAGGCACAUACAUCUCACCCCACAUUUGUUUCCUUGCCAUAGAUAACAUUCUUGGAUUUCUAGUGGAGACCAUUUCUUGGUCAAAAAUCCGUAGGUGUUAGCCUUUGGUAUUAUUGGAAAUGGUCGUUCAAGGCUAUUUUCGACAAAAAUGGGGGUUGUGUGGCUAUUGAUCAUUGACCAGAGGCUCGUACACCUCACCACAUAUAUGUUUCCUUGCCAUAGGUCACAUUCUUGGAUUUCUGGUGGAGACCAUUUCUUGGUCAGAAUCCGUAGGUGUUUGCCUUCGAUAUUACUGAAAAUGAUCGUUCAUGGCUAUUUUCGAAAAAAUGGGGGUUGUGUGGCCAUUGAUCAUUGACCAGAGGCUCGUUCACCUCACCCCCACAUAUGUUUCCUUGCCAUAGGUCACAUUCUUGGAUAUUUAGGGGAGACCAUUUCUUGGUCAAAAAUCCGUAGGUGUUAGUCUUCAGUAUUAUUGAAAAUGGUCGUUCAUGCUAUUUUCGACAAAAAUAGAGGUUGUGUGGCCAUUGAUCAUCAACCAGAGGCUCGUACACCUCACCCCACAUAUGUUUUCUUGCCAUAGAUCACAUUCUUAGAUUUCUGGUGGAGACCUUUUCUUGGUUAAAAAUCUGUUGGUGUUAGCCUUCGGUAUUAUUGAAAAUGGUCGGUCAUGCUAUUUUUGACAAAAAUAUGGGUUGUGUAGCCAUUGAUCAUUGACCAAAGGCUCGUAUACCUCACCCCACAUAUGUUUCCUUCCCUUGGAUCACAUUCUUGAAUUUUUGGUGGAGACUAUUUCUUGGUAAAAAAUCCUUAGGUGUUAACCUUCAGUAUUAUUGAAAAUUUCGUUCAUGGCUAUUUUUGACAAAAUGGGGGUUGUGUGGUCAUUGAUCAUCGACCAGAGGCUCGUAGACCUCACCCCACAUAUGUUUAAUUGCUAUAGAUCACAUUCUUGGAUUUCUGGUUAAGACCAUUUCUUGGUCAAAAAUUCGUAGGGGUUAGCCUUUGGUAUUAUUGAAAAUGGUCAUUCAUUCAAUUUUCGACAAAAAUGGUUGUUGUGUAGCCAUUGACCAUCGAAUAGAGGCUCAUACACCUGAACCCACAUAUGUUUCCUUGCCAUAGGUCACAUUCUUGGAUUUCUAGUGGGGACCAUUGGUCGAAAAUCCGUAGGUGUUUGCCUUCAGUAUUAUUGAAAAUAGUCGUUCAUGCUAUUUUCGACAAAAACAGGGGUUGUGUGGCCAUUUAUCAUCGACCAGAGGCUCGUACACAUCUCCCUACAUUUAUUUCCUUGCCAUAGAUCACAUUCUUGGAUUUCUAGUGGAGACUAUUUCUUUGUCAAAAAUCCUUAGGUGUUAGCCUUCGGUAUUAUUGAAAUGGUCAUUCAUGGCUAUUUUCGACAAAAAUAGGGGUUGUUUGGCCAUUGGUCAUCGACCAUAGGCUCAUACACCUCACCCCACUUAUGUUUUCUUACCAUAUUUCACAUUCUUGGAUUUCUGGUGGAGACCAUUUCUUAGUAAAAAAUCCGUAGGUGUUAACCUUCGGUAUUAUUGAAAAUGGUCGUUCAUGCUAUUUUCAACAAAAAUGGGGGUUCUGUGGCCAUUGAUGAUCGACUAGAGGCUCGUACAACUCACCACACAUAUGUUUCCUUGCCAUAGAUCACAUUCAUGAAUUUUAGUGGAGACCAUUUCUUGGUAAAAACUCCAUAGGUGUUAGCCUUCAGUAUUAUUGAAAAUGAUCGUUCAUGCUAUUUUCGACAAAAAUAAGGGUUGUGUGGCCAUCGAUCAUUGACCAGAGGCUCAUUCACCUCACCCCACAUAUGUUUCCUUGCCAAAGAUCACAUUCUUGGAUAUCUAAUGGAGACCAUUUCUAGAUCAAAAAUCCAUAAGUGUUAGCAUUCGAUAUUAUUGAAAAUAGUCGUUCAUGCUUUUUCGACAAAAAUGUUUGUUGUGUGGCCAUUCAUCAUCGACCAGGGGCUUAUACACCUCACCCCACAUAUGUUUCCUUGCCAUAGACCACAUUCUUGGAUUUCAGGUGGAGACCAUUUCUUGGUCCAAAAUCCGUAGGUGUUAGCCUUGGGUAUUAUUGAAAAUGGUCGUUCGUGUUAUUUUCCACAAAAAUGUGGGUUGUGUGGCCAUUGGUCAUCGACCAGAGGCUCGUACUCCUGACCCCACAUAUGUUUCCUGGCCAUAUAUCACAUUCUUUGAUUUCUGGUGGAGACCAUUUCUUGGUCAAAAAUCCGUAGGUGUUAGCCUUCGGUAUUAUUGAAAAUGGUCGUUCAUGCUAUUUUCGACAAAAAUAGGAGCUAUGUGGCCAUUGAUCAUCGACCAGAGUCUCGUACACCUCUCCCCACAUUUAUUACCUUGCCAUUGAUAACAUUCUUGGAUAUCUAGUGGAGACCGUUUCUUGGUCAAAAAUCCAUAGAUGUUAGCCUUGGGUAUUAUUAAAAAUAGUCGUUCAAGGCUAUUUUCGACAAAAAUGGGGGUUGUGUGGCCAUUGAUCAUCGACCAGAGGCUCGUUCACCUCACCCCACAUAUGUUUCCUUGCCAUAGACCACAUUCUUGGAUUUCUGGUGGAGACCAUUUCUUGGUCCAAAAUCCGUAGGUGUUAGCCUUGGGUAUUAUUGAAAAUGGUCGUUCAUGUUAUUUUCCACAAAAAUGGGGGUUGUGUGGCCAUUGAUCAUCGACCAGAGGCUCAUACUCCUGACCCCACAUAUGUUUCCUGGCCAUAUAUCAUAUUCUUGGAUUUCUGAUGGAGACCAUUUCUUGGUCAAAAAUCCGUAGUUGUUAGCCUUCGGUAUUAUUGAAACUGGUCGUUCAUGCUAUUUUCGUCAAAAAUAGGAGCUAUGUGGCCAUUGAUCAUCGACCAGAAUCUCGUACACAUCUCCCCACAUUUGUUACCUUGCCAUUGAUAACAUUCUUGGAUAUCUAGUGGAGACCAUUUUUGGUCAAAAAUCCGUAGGUGUUAGCCUUUGAUAUUAUUGGAAAUAGUUGUUCAAGGCUAUUUUCGACAAAAAUGGGGGUUGUGUGGCCAUUGAUCAUCGACCAGAGGCUCGUUCACCUCAGCCCACAUAUGUUUCCUUGUCAUAGAUCAUAUUCUUGGAUUUCUGGUGGAGACCAUUUCUUGGUCCAAAAUCCGUAGGUGUUAGCCUGGGGUAUUAUUGAAAAUGGUCGUUCAUGUUAUUUUCCACAAAAAUGGGGGUUGUCUGGCCAUUGAUCAUCGACCAGAGGCUCGUAAUCCUGACCCCACAUAUGUUUCCUGGCCAUAUAUCACAUAAUUGGAUUUCUGGUGGAGACCAUUUCUUGGUCAAAAAUCUGUAGGUGUUAGCCUUCGGUAUUAUUGAAAAUGGUCGUUCAUGCUAUUUUCAACAAAAAUAGGAGUUGUGUGGCCAUUGAUCAUCGACCAGAGGCACAUACAGCUCACCCCACAUUUGUUUCCUGGCCAUAUAUCACAUUCUUGGAUUUCUGGUGGAGACCAUUUCUUGGUCAAAAAUCUGUAGGUGUUAGCCUUUGGUAUUAUUGGAAAUGGCCGUUCAAGGCUAUUUUCGACAAAAAUGGGGGUUGUGUGGACAUUGAUCAUUGACCAGAGGCUCGUACACCUCACCCCACAUAUGUUUCCUUGCCAUAGGUCACAUUCUUGGAUUUCUGGUGGAGACCAUUUCUUGGUCAAAAAUCCGUAGGUGUUUGCCUUGGGUAUUACUGAAAAUGAUCGUUCAUGGCUAUUUUCAAAAAAUGGGGGUUGUGUGGCCAUUGAUCAUUGAACAGAGGCUCGUUCACCACACCCCACAUAUGUUUCCUUGCCAUAUGUCACAUUCUUGGAUAUUUAGGGGAGACCAUUUCUUGGUCAAAAAUCUGUAGGUGUUAGUCUUCGGUGUUAUUGGAAAUGGUCGUUCAAGGCUAUUUUUGACAAAAGUGGGGGUUAUGUGGCCAUUGAUCAUUGACCAGAGCCUCGUUCACCUCACCCCACAUAUGUUUCCUUGCCAAAGAUCACAUUCUUGGAUUUCUGGUGGAGACCAUUUAUAGGUAAAAAAUCCAUAAGUUUUAGCAUUCAGUAUUAUUGAAAACAGUCGUUCAUGCUUUUUUGACAAAAAUGGUUGUUGUGUGGCCAUUCAUCAUCGACCAGAGGCUCAUACACCUCACCCCACAUAUGUUUCCUUGCCAUAGACCACAUUCUUGGAUUUCUGGUGGAGAUCAUUACUUGGUCCAAAAUCCGUAGGUGUUAGCCUUGGGUAUUAUUGAAAAUGGUCGUUCAUGUUAUUUUCCACAAAAAUGUGGGUUGUGUGGCCAUUGAUCAUCGACUAGAGGCUCGUAAUCCUGACCCCACAUAUGUUUCCUGGCCAUAUAUCACAUUCUUUGAUUUCUGGUGGAGACCAUUUCUUGGUCAAAAAUCCGUAGGUGUUAGCCUUCGGUAUUAUUGAAAAUGAUCGUUCAUGCUAUUUUCGACAAAAAUAGGAGCUGUGUGGCCAUUGAUCAUCGGCCAGAGUCUCAUACACCUCUCCCCACAUUUGUUACCUUGCCAUUGAUAACAUUCUUGGACAUCUAAUGGAGACCGUUUGUUGGUCAAAAAUCCCUAGGUGUUAGCCUUUGGUAUUAUUGGAAAUAGUCAUUCAAGGCUAUUUUCGACAAAAAUGGGGGUUGUGUGGCCAUUGAUCAUCGACCAGAGGCUCGUUCACCUUAGCCCACAUAUGUUUCCUUGUUGUUGGGGACUUGUUCUCAAGUGCUAUGAGUUAAGAACAAGGCAACACAAAAAAUAUUAAUCGAUAAAGUCCUUCGUCCUUCGAAGCAUUAUUUCCCUUAGGAUAUAAUGAUUUUCGGACGAAGGUUAUGAAGGACGUACCUUCAUAAACAUAGCAUACAAUGACGAAGAACGAAUCAUAAAGAAUAUAAAGGAUUACACAGAAAAUAAUAUAUCAUUAUCAAUUUAUCAUUAUUGCAGAGAAACAGAAAUAAUAUCGAAUUACAAAUGUACCUUCAGCUCGGAAGGGAAUGAAAGUACAGGUGUGACGCAAAAGUGAAUGUCAGAAUCCGCGUGAACAGUACGGGGGUAUUGUUCACCUAUUUAUAGGCACGGGACACAGCCCAUACAAAAUUACAUUCAUGCCCUUUACAUUUGAUAAUAAUUCUAUAGUAAUCUAUCGAGGUCUGAAUAGCCUUUUCAUCUUUAAGUCGGUUUCAUUUUCUGCUACCAUGCCGAAGCUUUCCUGUUCACAUCUUCGGCGCUGUAUCAACCUUCGUACUAUUCUGGUCUGCUGUGAUACCGACUUGAGUCCGAAGAUACCUGCUCACACAUUGUACUCUAGAAAUAUUGUUAAAUCCUGUUUUUGAGGACCUUCGUAAGCCGAAGGCCCCCAACAGUAGCCCUUCGCAAUAUUAAUUUAUUUUAAAAUAAUAAAUUUAGAUUGCGACAUGGACGAAGGCUUUACGCCGAAGGUCCGAAAAAACACCUUCCCUUUGCUAGAAUAGCAACAUUCACUGACAAGCGGGGUCUUUCAAUUUUCAACGCACUGGGCGUAUAAAUAAGAUCAUACCGCAAACUUAUUUUGGCACGCUCUCUUGCCAUCUGCUCCCGCUCACUCAAUUUUUAGCUCUUGUGCAUCAAGAUUUGCUGAGCUUUUAAGUUUUGAAGCUUCGGCUUUGAAAACAGUUUUUUAGUGUUUCCGAAGAUGUCUGAAGAUAAGAAGGCUGCUACCGAGAUGAAGCUGAGUCUCGAAGAAGAGAAGAAUCUGGGGUUUCUUAUAGCAAUGUCGAAGACCAAUACAGAAAAAAUCACCAAGGAGAUUCUAGAAGGUUUGUCUGAAGAUACUGGUGACAGCGACAGUUAUGAUGUGGACAGUGGUGGUGAAGACUCCGAAGAUCGCCCUUGGCGACCAAGCCAUGCGGUUUUCGGUAAAUCAACUAUCAAAGAAAAUCAUCUUGUCAACAUGAGAGGAAGGUAUUUCCGGGAUUUAUCCGUUGUGAGGGCCGACGAAGGGGAAAAGACUUGUCCACACCCUGAAGAGAAUGAAGUCGUAGUGUACCGAAGCUUUUUGAAAGCUGGACUACGAUUUCCCCUGAGCAGCUUCGUCGUAGAGGUGCUGAAAAUAUUCGAAGUCUAUCUUCACCAACUUACCCCCGAGGCAAUUAUAAGGCUGAACAUCUUCGUAUGGGCCGUGAGAAGCCAAGGUCUGGAGCCUGAUGCGAAAAGUUUCUGUAAUAUACACGAAUUAUCAUACGAAACAAAACCUUGGGGCAAGGAACAGUAUCACAAUAAUUUUGGUUGCUACAGUUCCGUUUCUCGGUCUGGGUCAAGCUGUCCCGUGCCAACCUUUCGGAAGAGAUGGCCCGGCGACUGGAUGACAGAAUGGUUUUAUGUGAAGAAUGACCUGAAAACACGAGAAGAUAUCAAAGGUAUAAUUAUGCGCCCUAUUUGGCAAAGCUUCGGUUUGCGGAGGCCGAAAGUUGAAAUGAAUGAAGCUACCGAAGAAUGCCAGAGAGCCUUCGGAGUUAUUUGUUAUUUUAUUGGAACAAGAGAUUUAGUCCAAGAGCAUAUUGCCUUCAGAGUAUGGCCGCUUGCGGAAAAAUGGGAAAUGCCGCAAGAGACCAUAAAGGAGGCUGACGAAGGUGGCCUUAUUAGGCUGAAGUAUACUUUCAAGUUUGGAGAUAAAUUCGUUGAGCCAGAUGAUGACUGGCUAAAAAGCAUUGAAAAUUUGAGUGAUGAGCUACUUGGGGUUUACUCGAAGGCUGAAGAUACUGCAUUGUCAGCAGCCUUCGGAGGCCGGAAAAAGAAAAGACUGAACCGGGUUUUUGACGCAAUCGGGUUUGUCUACCCUGACUAUCGUUAUCCCAUUCGAGGGCAAAAAAGAAAGAACAUAACCUCUGCGAAAGAAGAAGUUGUAACUGCUCCUAGCGAGCUAGAACCGAAAAGAAAGAGGAUAAAGGUCCUCACACAUCGGCCACGCUAUAUUGAACCAGCUUCGGUGCCUGAUUUCACCGGAGAAACUUCUUCGGCCACCGAAGCUGAAAAGCUAACCAAGCCAACCUUGCUGCCAGAAGUCGCAGAAAUGGCCGAAGCGCCAACAAGGAUAGAAUUGGAAGAACUGAAGAUUUUGUUACCAGAAACCAAAGAGAUGGCCGAAGCGCCAUCCACAGAAAAAAUGGAAGAAGUGAAAAAACCAACUGAGGAAAAAACAUCAGAAGUUUUGAGUCCUGCAGCAAAUGUUGAGACAGUAAAAAAUCAAAAGGUGCCAGCAGUGACUCCGAAAAGAAAGAGAAUGGUCAAUGUGCUAGAUGUUCUGGAAACAAUUAAAUCCUCAAGCACGCCUCCGAAGAAGACUGUUGCCAUCCCCGAAGCAAAAACUGAAAUUUCUGAUACUAAGGCUCCGGAGCAAGAAACUGAAGCUGAAGCUGGGUCCUCAGAGCCCACGAAGAUAAAAUCCUUGGAAACCGAGGAAGAAAAAAUAACAGAGGCAACUUUUGUUGAAGAAAUCAGUGUGAUUGCCCCCGAAGCAUCCCCCAAAGUCCUUGAUUAUAUUGUUCGUCAUGCUUCGGGGAGACAAUUAUCAGAAAAAGAAAAACAAGAGGCCCAGCUUUACGCCCAAAAACUGAAAUAUCCAAAGGGGGCGUUAAUAUUCAAUGGCAGCGGAGAAGAAGACUUUUUGUAUUGUCUCCCCGGCAGCAAGGAGAUUUCUGUCUGUCGGGAGAUGAGCAGGAGCUUCGGAUACCCAACACUAGAAGACGGGCUUUCGGUGCUGUCAAAAAAACGAUCUGGCCGACAGCCUGGCCUACAAUAGCUUAAAGGUACAAAAAAUGAGAUCUUUGUACUUAAAUAUUUUUUGAAACCAAAAUUUUUCGUUUGCUUAAAUAUAUUGACAUAUACAUAUCGUUCCUUGCAGGGCCUUAUACUUAGCAAUGCCCUCAGGGCCCAAAAAGAUGCCGAAGACGAAGGGUGCGCUAUUGCCCUGAGCAACCUUCGUUCCGAAGUAAUUGAACUAAGGAACGAAGGUCUCGAAAAAGAUAAAAUAUUACAUUCAUUGUUAAAUAGAAUAAAAGAGGACGAGGCUACUUUUAAGGGUCAAGUUGAGGCUCAGAAGCACGAAAUUGAAGAUCUUCGGAAACAACUGGCCCGAGCCAAAGAGGAACGGAUACUUGAAGAAACGAGGCGAGAACUCAGCGACCAAUGGGCAAAUCAUUUAGAGGGAACUGUUGAAGAGCUUCGUUCGUCCAAGAAAAGAUGCUAUAACAAAUCCAUAGAGUGUGUCAAGAAGUUGAAAGCUAGCUUCGCCAGCGUCGGCGCAUUCUCGAGCGAAGAGAACUUUACAAGAGGCAACCCCGAAGGUCCCAUCGAAUGGAUCGAUCACGAAACUGAAGCCUUCGAAGAGAUUUUAAAUAGCCGCGGAGACAUAUGUGCUUUCUCGGGUGCCAGGGGAAUUGCCACCAUUUUAGAGAAAAAGGGCUGCGAACAUGUAAAAAUUUUAGCGCAAUCCGAAGCUGCUUUGUCCUUCGAAGAUGCGAGAGAUCCUUCAGCCGAAGCUAGCAUGGUUGGUGGAAAAUUUUUCACCGAUGUCUGGGAUAAUGGUGGCCGAGAAAUGGCCCGAGAAAUUAUUCGAAAAAGCGAAAAGGGCAUUCACGAUGCUAGAGAAGUAGCUGAGGCUGCUGAGAAGAGCGCAGAGCCCGAAGGGCAACUAGGUAUUAACUAAUGGUUUUUAUUGUGUUGUAAUUUUUGGUUUUAAACUUCGUUCGCAAUUUGUAAUAGCAAUGUAGUCGUAUCCUGUCCUCCUUCAGAUCCUGCUAAAGCGUCUCCGGGCUCUCACCCGAAGGGAGACGAUGAAAUUAAAAAGAUGGCUGAAGCUAUUAUGGACGAAGUUGUCAAUCGGCUCCUGAAUGAGGCUGCAAAAGUUGUUCUGAGAGAAGAUUAAAUACUAUUGCAAAAAACUUCUGAAAUGUAAUAUGUGUGACAUCUUGCAGCCCUGAAUGUAAUAUACCUGCUUUUAUUGUUUAAUUCUUUACGAUGCAUGAAAUUUUACAUACGUACCGUUUUUGAGUCUUUGACGAAAAAACACCUUCCCUUCUUUUCAUGCUUCGUGAAGAAUAAUUUUCAUUUGUCACAACAAUAUUCGUGAAGAUAUUCUCCGAAGCUACACUUCCGAAGAUCAAUAGUGUAUCUGCUUGCGACUUAGCAUGAUUUUCCCCUUUCAAAGCAUUCUUCCGAAGAUCGAUAUCAUGUCCCCUUCUUGUGUCAUAUGCAACAUGAUGUAUGAUGCUUUAUGCUAUGCGAAAUGAUGCGAUGAUGUUAUGUUAUGUAAGAUGAUGUUUAUUCCGAAGAUACACACACAUUCCCGCGAUAAAACACAUAAUCUUUUCGAAUCAGUGUUGUCUUUUUACUAUAAGCCUCCCUUAGGAGCUUCUUCGCCUUUUACUUCAGCGGAAUCACCGUUUAUUUUUCGCUGUAAGCCUCCCUUAGGAGCUUCUUCGCCUUUUACUUUCAGCGGUAUUCGUGUUGACUUUUCACGCUUCGCCUUUUACUUAGGCGGUAUCAGCGUUGACUUUUCGCUGUAUGCUCUGCAUUCCCUUUGGAACGACUUUGGAGCAGAAAACUUACACUGCGCUCCCUUUGGAACGACUUUUUGUGACUUCGGCAAACUUACUCUGCGUUCCUUAGAACGACUUUUUGUUGCUUCGAAGAAUUUUCGAUAAUUCGAAGGUCCUCUUUAUUAUCACAAAUCUUUGAACUUCAACAACUUAAGCCUGUGAAGAAAAUAUAUUUUCCUUGUGGGAAUCAACGAAACUAUUUACAUGAAACCUAAACAAUGUCCUUUAUUACAUAGAAAAUAAAACUGAAUGAAAAAGAUUGCUAUUAAGGUAGGAUAUUUGUCAAUAGAUGUGCUUUGACUCUGGCACAGUGCUGUUGACUGUGCGAGCUUCGGACUGUUCUCUGAAGUCCCUUUGGUGUGGAGCAUAUUGGCUCCCUUCUGGCUGCUGGCCUUGUUGCAGCGGUGGUGGAGGCGGAGGCUGUUGCCAGGAAGCUUGAGGUUGACUCGCCGAAGCAACAGAAACUGCAGGGUGAUUGCCUACAUACUCUGGGAUGUAAGGCGAAUGAUACGAAGCAGUGUGCAUGACCUGCUUCGGCUGAGCCUGUUGUGCUGCCGCUUCGGCUAUUUCCUUUUGCUUCUGGAUGGUAACAUGGCACAUCCUGGUGGUAUGGCCUUUGUUCUCACCACAGAACAAGCAAAAAAUUCUUCUUGGCUGAUCGCCAAAUCGUCCGCCGAAGCCCCUGGCACCUCUGCCUCUCGGAGCUGGUGGUCGGAAGGAGCCUUGCUGUUGCCCCGAAGCCUGUGAGGAACACUGUGGCCUUUGCUGUUGGCUCCCUCUAUCAUCAUUUUGGGUAGAGUUAUGAAUUGAUCUAACGUGCCUCGGAUAGAACCUCCCUCCGAAGCCCCUGGUCAUUUCAGAAAACCUGAAAGCCUCCUCCCUUCUUUGGCGAAAAUCAUUAUCGGCCCGAAUGUACUCGUCCAUCUUCUGGAGCAGCUUCUCCAAAGUUUGAGGAGGCUUCCUAGCGAAGUACUGAGCUGACGGUCCUGGCCGAAGCCCCUUGAACAUGGCCUCAAUGACAAUUUCGUUGGGCACUGUUGGUGCCUGUGCCCUCAAACGCAAGAACCUCCGGACAUACGCCUGAAGGUAUUCUUCGUGAUCCUGGGUGCACUGGAAUAGAGCUUGAGCAGUGACCGGCUUCGUCUGAAACCCUUGAAAGCUGGUUAACAACAAGUCCUUCAACUUCUGCCAUGAAGUGAUCGUUCCUGGUCGAAGGGAGGAAUACCAGGUUUGAGCAACACUCCUGACAGCCAUAACAAAAGAUUUGGCCAUGACUGCAGCAUUGCCACCAUAUGAAGAUACUGUUGCUUCGUAGCUCAUCAAAAACUGCUUCGGGUCUGAGUGGCCAUCGAAUAUGGGAAGCUGAGGCGGCUUGUAAGACGGAGGCCAAGGUGUAGCCUGCAGCUCAGCGGACAGAGGAGAAGCAUCAUCAAAAACAAAAUUCCCAUGAUGGAAAUUGUCAUACCAGUCAUCUUCGUUGGGGAAAUCCUCCUGAUGAAGGUCUUGGUGCUGAGGCCUUCGGUGUUGCUCAUCCUGAGUAAGAUGACGAACUUCUUCAGAGGCUUCGUCUAUCUGCCUUUGCAGUUCAGCUAGCCUGGCCAUCUUUUCUUUCUUCCUCUGCACCUGUUGAUGAAGCAUCUCCAUGUCUCUGAUUUCUUGAUCUAUCUCAUCCUCUGGUGGUGUCGGGCUAACAGCCUUCCUCUUCUGGCUUCGGGCCUCCCGAAGAGAGACUGUCUCCUGGUUAUGGUCCAGAGGCUGCAGAGCUGCAGCCCCAGUUGCUGAAGCUUUCUUCGGUGCCAUAGCGAAGGUUUAUGAUCGCCGAAGGUGUUCAAAAACUCAAAGAGUGGAAGUGAGUUCACCGGAGGUGGGCGCCAAUGUUGGGGACUUGUUCUCAAGUGCUAUGAGUUAAGAACAUGGCAACACAAAAAAUAUUAAUCGAUAAAGUCCUUCGUCCUUCGAAGCAUUAUUUCCCUUAGGAUAUAAUGAUUUUCGGAUGAAGGUUAUGAAGGACGUACCUUCAUAAACAUAGCAUACAAUGACGAAGAACGAAUCAUAAAGAAUAUAAAGGAUUACAUAGAAAAUAAUAUAUCAUUAUCAAUUUAUCAUUAUUGCAGAGAAACAGAAAUAAUAUCGAAUUACAAAUGUACCUUCAGCUCGGAAGGGAAUGAAAGUACAGGUGUGACGCAAAAGUGAAUGUCAGAAUCCGCGUGAACAGUACGGGGGUACUGUUCACCUAUUUAUAGGCACGGGACACAGCCCAUACAAAAUUACAUUCAUGCCCUUUACAUUUGAUAAUAAUUCUAUAGUAAUCUAUCGAGGUCUGAAUAGCCUUUUCAUCUUUAAGUCGGUUUCAUUUUCUGCUACCAUGCCGAAGCUUUCCUGUUCACAUCUUCGGCGCUGUAUCAACCUUCGUACUAUUCUGGUCUGCUGUGAUACCGACUUGAGUCCGAAGAUACCUGCUCACACAUUGUACUCCAGAAAUAUUGUUAAAUCCUAUUUUUGAGGACCUUCGUAAGCCGAAGGCCCCCAACACUUGUCAUAGAUCACAUUCUUGGAUUUCUCGUGGAGACCAUUUCUUGGUCCAAAAUCCGUAGGUGUUAGCCUUGGCUUUUAUUGAAAAUGGUCGUUCGUGUUAUUUUCCACAAAAAUGGGGGUUGUGUGGCCAUUGAUCAUCGACCAGAGGCUCGUACUCCUGACCCCACAUAUGUUUCCUGGCCAUAUAUCACAUUCUUGGAUUUCUGGUGGAGACCAUUUCUUGGUCAAAAAUCUAUAGUUGUUAGCCUUCGGUAUUAUUGAAAAUGGCCGUUCAUGCUAUUUUCGACAAAAAUAGGAGUUGUGUGGCCAUUGAUCAUCGACCAGAGGCACAUACAGCUCACCCCACAUUUUUUUCCUUGCCAUAGAUAACAUUCUUAGAUUUCUAGUGGAGACCAUUUCUUGGUCAAAAAUCUGUAGGUGUUAGCCUUCGGUAUCAUUGGAAAUGGUCGUUCAAGGCUAUUUUCGACAAAAAUGGGGGUUGUGUGGCCAUUAAUCAUUGACCAGAGGCUCGUACACCUCACCCCACAAAUGUUUCCUUGCCACAGGUCACAUUCUUGGAUUUCUGGUGGAGACCAUUUCUUGGUCAAAAAUCCAUAGGUGUUUGCCUUCAGUAUUACUGAAAAUGAUCGUUCAUGGCUAUUUUCGAAAAAAUGGGGGUUGUGUGGCCAUUGAUCAUUGACCAGAGGCUCGUUCACCUCACCCCACAUAUGUUUCCUUGCCAUAGGUCACAUUCUUGGAUAUUUAGUGGUGUCGGGGACCAUAAUUAGGGGUACCCUCAAGACGCCUAAUUCUCAGCUGGUAACCCCCAUCAGCAUGAAGCUGCAGAGGCCUGAUGGGUGCGAUUAAGUCAGGGAUCAGUCCAUACGAGUGACUCGAUCACGCUUCGCCCGAGCCUAGCCUCGGACAAGGGCAGCCGACCUCGAGGGACUUCCGUCUCGCCCGAGGCCCCCCUUUUUACGGCGGACACAUUUCCGGCUCACCCGAGGCCUUGGCUUCGCUAAGAAGCAACCCUGACUAAAUCGCCGCACCGACUGACCAAGUUGCAGGAGCAUUUAACGCAAAGGUGGCCUGACACCUUUAUCCUGACGCGCGCCCCCCAGCAGAGCCGAAGUGACCGCCGUCACUCCACGGCUCCACUGACCGGUCUAACAGGAUAGCGCCGCCUGUGCCACCCCGACUGCAGUGCCACUUGACAGAGUGAGACUGACAGGCAGUCAGGCCUUGCCAAAGGCGCCAUAGGAAACUCCGCUCCGCCCGACCCAGGGCUCGGACUCGGGCUAAGCCCCGGAAGACGGCGAACUCCGCUCCGCCCGACCCAGGGCUUGGACUCGGGCUAAGACCCGGAAGACGGCAAACUCCGCUCCGCCCGACCCAGGGCUCGGACUCGGGCUAAGCCCCGGAAGACGGCGAACUCCGCUCCGCCCGACCCAGGGCUCGGACUCGGGCUAAGCCCCGGAAGACGGCGAACUCCGCUCCGCCCGACCCAGGGCUCGGACUCGGGUUAAGACCCGGAAGACGACGAACUCCGCUCCGCCCGACCCAGGGCUCGGACUUGGGCUCAGCCCCGGAAGACGACGAACUCCGCCUCGCCCGACCCCAGGGCUCGGACUCCGCUCUAGCCUCUGCCGAACGAUCUCCGCCUCGCCCGACCCAGGGGCUCGGGCUCGGCCUUGGCCACGGAAGACAGACUCGACCUCGGCUUCGGAGGAGCCCCCACGUCGCCCAGCCUAGGGCACAGGCCCGCCACGUCAACAGGAAGCGCCAUCAUCAUCCUACCCCGAGCCGACUCGGGUCACAGAGAACAAGACCGGUGUCCCAUCUGGCUAGCUCCGCCAGAUGGGCAAUGAUGGCGCCCCACGAGCUCUGUGACGACGGCGGGUCUCAGCUCUCUUACGGAAGCAGGAGGACGUCAGCAAGGACUGGACCGCUCCGAUAGCUGUCCCUCCGCCAAGCUCCGUUGCUCCUCCGACAGCCACGACAUCACGCCAGUAGGGUGCCAAGAUCUCUUCGGCUGCCACAUUGGCAUGUACUUAGGGCGCUAGCUCUCCCUCCGCUAGACACGUAGCACUCUGCUACACCCCCCAUUGUACACCUGGAUCCUCUCCUUACGCCUAUAAAAGGAAGGACCAGGGCCUUCUCAGGGAAGGUUGGCCGCGCGGGACCGAGGACGGGACAGGCGCUCUCUUGGGGCCGCUCGCUUCCCUCACCCGCGUGGAUGCUUGUAACCCCCCUACUGCAAGCACCCCGACCUGGGCGCGGGACGAACACGAAGGCCGCGGGAUUUCCACCUCUCUCACGCCCGUCUCCGGCCACCUCGCCUCUCCCCCCUUCGCGCUCGCCCACGCGCUCGACCCAUCUGGGCUGGGGCACGCAGCACACUCACUCGUCGGCUUAGGGACCCCCCGGUCUCGAAACGCCGACAGUUGGCGCGCCAGGUAGGGGCCUGCUGCGUGCUGACGAACAGCUUCCCGUCAAGCUCCAGAUGGGCAGUCUCCAGCAACCACUCCGGCCCGGGACGGUGCUCCGUUUCGGGAGUCUUGAGUUCAUGUCCUUCGACGGCAGCUACGACAUGAUACUCCUUCCACCGCCGCGUGACAACGACAAUGGCGGCCGACAUCCCGCCCGCCGGCGGCGGAACCGACGACAUCUUCCCCGCGCGGUGGAAGAACGACUUUCGAGCUCGCCCCGUCCUCUCCCCCGCCAAUGGAGGAGGAGGCGGGGCGACCAAGGCCAAGCGGGAGGCCGCGCUUCGUCGGCUGUCGAGCGAAUCGACGUCCCCAGCGCCCCGACGGAAGGCUCGCCGGGCGUCGACCUCACGUUCGAGACGAAGGCAAGCGCCGUCCCCCCGCGACACGCCAAUCCCGAGCAAGUGGACGACGCCGGCGCACUCGCGGAAAGCUUGCAGGACGUCGCCCUCGUACCUGAGACGACGGUGCAACCAGUCCCCGAUGUGGCUACGUCGCUCCUCGUCGACCAAAAGGUACGGACUAAUUCCCAUCCUACGUAUUUUCGACUCGGCCUUAACCCGCCAAGCGACCUCGCUUUGGCGGGCGCUCUCAUUGAGGCGAGUGCAACCCCACUGGGGUUUCGUAUGCGGUCGCCUUGGGACCGAUUGACGGACGUCUCGACCUACGGGCCCUCUGGGUCCGAGGAAGAUGACGAUCCCAGCAUCUGUUGGGAUUUCUCUGGAUUUGGCAACCCCAGUGCCAUGCGGGACUUCAUGACCGCAUGUGACUACUGCCUCUCCGACUGUUCCGACGGAAGCCGCAGCCUUGACGACGAGGACUGCGGCCCAAGCCGCGAAUGUUUCCACGUCGAGCUAGGGGAUCCCUCCGAAGGCAACCAUCUUGGCAUGCCGGAGGAUGGUGAUCUUCCUAGGCCGGUGCCCCGCGCCGACAUCCCGCGGGAGCUAGCUGUGGUCCCCGUUCUGGCGAGGGGUCGCGACCCACAGCUCGAGCAAGUCCGCGGGGCGCAGGCCAGGCUCGACGAGGGAACAGGAGCACUUGAGACGAUCCGUUGGGACGUCGGGCAGGUAUGGGCGGGCCAACCCCCGGCCGGAGAAAUACGUCACCUGCCCCAGGGUCUCCAGCACCGCGUCGCCAACGAUGUCAGGGUCAGGCCGCCGCCCGCAUCCAGCAGGGUUGGUCAGAACCUGGCAGCCGCCGCGAUGCUCCUCCGCGCGAUGCCGGAGCCAUCAACCACCGAGGGUCGGCGAAUCCAGGGAGAGCUCAAGAAUCUCCUGGAAGGCGCUGCGGCCCGACGGGCCGAGAGCACUGCCUCCCGGAGGCAGGGAUACCCCUCGGAACCUCACGCCGCGACUUCCCGAUUCAUGCGGGAAGCCUCGGUCUACACCGGGCGCACGCGCAACACCGCGCCUGCGACCCCGGGCCACCUCGGCAACGAGCACCACCGUCGCGACCGUCGGGCUCACCUCGACGAAAGGGUGCGCCGAGGCUACCACCCCAGGCGUGGGGGGCGCUACGACAGCGGGGAGGAUCGGAGUCCCUCGCCCGAACCACCCGGUCCGCAGGCCUUCAGUCGGGCCAUCCGACGGGCGCCGUUCCCGACCCGGUUCCGACCCCCGACUACUAUCACGAAGUACUCGGGGGAAACGAGACCGGAACUGUGGCUCGCGAACUACCGCCUGGCCUGCCAACUGGGAGGGACGGACGACGACAACCUCAUCAUCCGUAACCUCCCCCUGUUCCUCUCCGACACUGCUCGUGCCUGGUUGGAGCACCUGCCUCCGGGGCAGAUCUCCAACUGGGACGACUUGGUCCAAGCCUUCGCCGGCAAUUUCCAGGGCACGUACGUGCGCCCCGGGAAUUCCUGGGACCUCCGGAGCUGCCGGCAACAGCCGGGAGAGUCUCUCCGGGACUACAUCCGGCGAUUCUCGAAGCAGCGCACCGAGCUGCCCAACAUCACCGACUCGGAUGUCAUCGGCGCGUUCCUUGCCGGCACCACCUGCCGUGACCUGGUGAGCAAGUUGGGUCGCAAGACCCCCACCAGGGCGAGCGAGCUGAUGGACAUCGCCACCAAGUUCGCCUCUGGCCAGGAGGCGGUUGAAGCUAUCUUCCGAAAGGACAAGCAGCCCCAGGGCCGCCCAUCGGAAGAGGCUCCCGAGGCGUCUACUCCGUGCGGCGCCAAGAAGAAGGGCAAGAAGAAGUCGCAAUCGAAACGCGACGCCGCUGACGCGGACCUUGUCGCCGCCGCCGAGUACAAGAACCCUCGGAAGCCCCCCGGAGGUGCUAACCUCUUCGACAAGAUGCUCAAGGAGCCGUGCCCCUACCAUCAGAGGCCCGUCAAGCACACCCUCGAGGAGUGCGUCAUGCUUCGGCGCCACUUCCACAGGGCCGGGCCACCCACGGAGGGUGGCAGGGCCCGCGACGACGACAAGAACGAAGAUCACCAAGCAGGAGAGUUCCCCGAGGUCCGCGACUGCUUCAUGAUCUACGGUGGGCAUGCGGCGAAUGCCUCGGCUCGGCAUCGCAAGCAAGAGCGCCGGGAGGUCUGCUCGGUGAAGGUGGCGGUGCCAGUCUACCUAGACUGGUCCGACAAGCCCAUCACCUUCGACCAGGCUGACCACCCCGACCAUGUGCCGAGCCCGGGGAAAUACCCGCUCGUCGUCGACCCCAUCGUCGGCAACGUCAGGCUCACCAAGGUCCUGAUGGAUGGGGGCAGCUGCCUCAACAUCAUCUACGCCGAGACCCUCAAGCUCCUGCGCGUCGAUCUGUCCUCCGACCGGGCAGGCGCUGCGCCCUUCCACAGGAUCAUCCCUGGGAAGCGCGUCCAGCCCCUCGGGCGGCUCGACCUUCCCGUCUGCUUCGGAAUGCCCUCCAACUUCCGAAGGGAGACCUUGACGUUCGAGGUGGUCGGGUUCCGAGGAACCUACCACGCGGUACUGGGAAGGCCAUGCUACGCGAAGUUCAUGGCCGUCCCCAACUACACCUACCUGAAGCUCAAGAUGCCGGGCCCCAACGGGGUCAUCACCGUCGGCCCCACGUACAAACACGCGUUCGAAUGCGACGUGGAGUGCGUGGAGUACGCCGAGGCCCUCGCCGAGUCCGAGGCCCUCAUCGCCGACCUGGAGAACCUCUCCAAAGAGGUGCCAGACGUGAAGCGCCAUGCCGGCAACUUCGAGCCAGCGGAGACGGUUAAGGCCGUCCCUCUCGACCCCAGUGGCGACACCUCCAAGCAGAUCCGGAUCGGUUCCGGGCUCGACCCCAAAUAGGAAGCAGUGCUCGUCGACUUUCUCCGUGCAAACGCCGACGUCUUUGCGUGGAGUCCCUCGGACAUGCCCGGCAUACCGAGGGAGGUCGCCGAGCACUCGCUGGAUAUUCGGGCCGGAGCCCGACCCGUCAGGCAGCCUCUGCGCCGAUUCGACGAGGAGAAGCGCAGAGUGAUAGGCGAGGAGAUCCACAAGCUAAUGGCGGCAGGGUUCAUCAAAGAGGUAUUCCAUCCCGAAUGGCUUGCCAACCCUGUGCUUGUGAGGAAGAAAGGGGGGAAAUGGCGGAUGUGUGUAGACUACACAGGUCUCAACAAAGCAUGUCCGAAGGUUCCCUACCCUCUGCCUCGCAUCGAUCAAAUCGUGGAUUCCACUGCUGGGUGCGAAACCCUGUCCUUCCUCGAUGCCUACUCAGGGUAUCACCAGAUCCGGAUGAAAGAGUCCGACCAGCUCGCGACUUCUUUCAUCACGCCGUUCGGCAUGUACUGCUAUGUCACCAUGCCGUUCGGUUUGAGGAAUGCGGGUGCGACGUACCAGCGGUGCAUGAACCAUGUGUUCGGCGAACACAUCGGUCGCACAGUCGAGGCCUACGUCGAUGACAUCGUAGUCAAGACAAGAAAGGCUUCCGACCUCCUCUCCGACCUUGAAGUGACAUUCCGAUGUCUCAAGGCGAAAGGAGUCAAGCUCAAUCCUGAGAAGUGUGUCUUCGGGGUGCCCCGGGGCAUGCUCCUGGGGUUCAUUGUCUCCGAGCGAGGCAUCGAAGCCAACCCGGAGAAGAUCGCAGCUAUCACCAGCAUGGGACCCAUCAAAGACUUAAAAGGCGUAUAGAGGGUCAUGGGAUGCCUCGCGGCCCUGAGCCGCUUCAUCUCACGCCUCGGCGAAAGAGGUCUACCUCUGUACCGCCUCUUAAGGAAGACCGAGUGUUUCGCUUGGACCCCUGAGGCCGAGGAAGCCCUCGGGAACCUGAAGGCGCUCCUUACAAAGGCGCCUGUCUUGGUGCCCCCGCUGAUGGAGAAGCUCUCUUGGUCUACGUCGCCGCUACCACUCAGGUGGUUAGCGCCGCGAUUGUGGUCGAGAGGCAAGAGGAAGGGCAUGCAUUGCCCGUUCAGAGGCCAGUCUACUUCGUCAGCGAGGUACUGUCCGAGACCAAGAUCCGCUACCCACAAGUUCAGAAGCUGCUGUAUGCUGUGAUCCUGACGAGGCGGAAGUUACGACACUACUUCGAAUCUCAUCCGGUGACUGUGGUGUCAUCCUUCCCCCUGGGGGAGAUCAUCCAAUGCCGAGAGGCCUCGGGCAGGACCGCAAAGUGGGCGGUGGAAAUCAUGGGCGAAACAAUCUCGUUCGCCCCUCGGAAGGCCAUCAAGUCCCAGGUGUUGGCGGACUUCGUGGCCGAAUGGGUCGACACCCAGCUACCAACGGCUCCGAUCCAACCAGAGCUCUGGACCAUGUUUUUCGACGGGUCGCUGAUGAAGACGGGAGCCGGCGCGGGCCUGCUCUUCAUCUCGCCCCUCGGGAAGCACCUGCGCUACGUGCUACGCCUCCACUUCCCGGCGUCCAACAAUGUGGCCGAGUACGAGGCUUUGGUCAACGGGCUGCGGAUCGCCAUCGAGCUAGGGGUCAGACGCCUCGACGCCCGCAGUGACUCGCAGCUCGUCAUCGACCAAGUCAUGAAGAACUCCCACUGCCGCGACCCGAAGAUGGAGGCCUACUGCGAUGAGGUUCGGCGCCUGGAAGACAAGUUCUUCGGGCUCGAGCUCAACCACAUCGCUCGGCGCUACAACGAGACUGCGGACGAGCUGGCUAAAAUAGCCUCGAGGCGAACCACGGUUCCCCCGGACGUCUUCUCCCGGGAUCUACAUCAACCCUCCAUCAAGAUCGACGACGCUCCCGAGCCCGAGGCGCCCUCGGCACAGCCCGAGGCACCCUUGGCACAGCCCGAGGCACCCUCGGCUCAGCCCAAGGCACCCUCGGCUCAGCCCGAGGCGUCUGCGGUUCAGCCCGAGGUAGCCUCGGCCCCCGAGGGCGAGGCACUGGACGUCGAGGAGGGGCAGAGCGGGGCCACGCCUGAUCGAGAUUGGCAGGCCCCGUACCUGCAAUAUCUCCGCCGAGGAGAGCUACCCCUCGACCAAGCCGAGGCUCGGCGGGUAGCGCGACGCGCCAAGUCGUUCGUCUUGCUGGGCGAUGAGGAGGAGCUCUACCACCGGAGCCCCUCGGGCAUCCUCCAGUGAUGCAUCUCCAUCGCCGAAGGUCAGGAACUCCUGCAAGAAAUACACUCGGGGGCUUGCGGCCAUCAUGCAGCGCCUCGAGCCCUUGUCGGGAAUGCUUUCCGGCAAGGCUUCUACUGGCCAACGGCGGUGGCUGACGCCACUAGAAUUGUCCGCACCUGCAAAGGGUGCCAAUUCUAUGCGAAGCAGACCCACCUGCCCGCUCAGGCUCUACAGACGAUACCCAUCACCUGGCCCUUUGCUGUAUGGGGUCUGGACCUCGUCGGUCCCUUGCAGAAGGCGCCCGGGGGCUACACGCACCUGCUGGUCGCCAUCGACAAAUUCUCCAAGUGGAUCGAGGUCCGACCCCUGAGCAGCAUCAGGUCCGAGCAGGCGGUGGCGUUCUUCACCAACAUCAUCCACCGCUUCGGGGUCCCGAACUCCAUCAUCACCGACAACGGUACCCAGUUCACCGGCAAAAAAUUCUUGGAUUUUUGCGAGGAUCACCACAUCCGGGUGGACUGGGCUGCCGUGGCUCAUCCCAUGUCGAAUGGGCAAGUAGAGCGUGCCAACGGCAUGAUUCUACAGGGGCUCAAGCCUCGGAUUUACAUUGACCUCAACAAGUUCGGCAAGCGAUGGAUGAAGGAGCUCCCCUCGGUGGUCUGGAGCCUGAGGACGACGCCGAGCCGAGCCACGGGUUUCACGCCGUUCUUCCUGGUCUACGGGGCCGAGGCCGUCUUGCCCACUGACCUGGAAUACGGCUCCCCGAGGACGAGGGUCUACAACGAUCAAAGCAACCAAGCUAGCCGAGAAGACUCACUGGACCAGCUGGAAGAGGCUCGAGACAAGGCCUUACUACACUCGGCGCGGUACCAGCAGUCCCUGCGACGCUACCAUGCCCGAGGGGUCCGGUCCCGAGACCUCCAGGUGGGCGAUCUGGUGCUUCGGCUGCGGCAAGACGCCCGAGGGAGGCACAAGCUCACGCCCCCCUGGGAGGGGCCAUUCAUCAUCGCCAAAGUUCUGAAGCCCGGAACAUACAAGCUGGCCAACAAUCAAGGCGAGGUCUACGGCAACGCUUGGAACAUCAAACAGCUACGUCGCUUCUACCCUUAAGAUGUUUUCAAGUUGUUCAUAUACCUCGCACCCACGCAAAGUUUAGUCGUCAAGGAAGGGUCGGCCUCGCCUCAGCAAAGCCCGACCCUCCCUCGGGGGCUAAAAGGGGGGAGACCCCCUCUGCGUCGAAUUUUUCCUCGAAAAAAGAUCUCUUUUUAGCAGAAUUUCUUUCGUGCUUUUUGACUACUUCGAAAAGCGGAUCCUGGAAACGACGGAGUACACGUAAGCAGCCAAGGCUGACCGAGCCGACGGACUCCUACGCCUCCGGGAUACGGAUACCUCACUCAUCACCUUCUGCGAUAAGUAACUCGCGUUCGGAUAAAGUGACUCCGUGGACCGAACAAGUCUUCACGUUCGGAAGCUCUUCUGCCAAAGCGGUCCUUCAAGCUUUCUCGACUAAGUCGGAGACAGGGCCUCGUGGACGGGCGAAAGUACGCGUAAGCGGCAAGGCCGACCGAGCCGAGGGACUCCCACGCCUCUGGGAUACGGAUACCUCACUCAUCACCUUCCGCGAGAAGCAACUCUCGCCCACACAAACAUCCCUGUUACCGACGGAAAGUCCAGAUGCUCGGAAUAAGAGGAAAAGAGACGCGGCUUCACAACGCAGCGAGGGUGUGUUUUCUGGCCUCGGCGGCCGCAGAAGGCACACGCUACAAGACCAUCUGAUCCUGCAGGCUCGGGUCUUCACGUUGAAGGGGGCUGUAGCACCCUCGGCAUCGACGACGCCUUCAGCGAGGUCCGACCCAGCCUCGGACGACGACGCGGUCCGGGGACUUCUCCGGGAAUCCGGCCCGAGCAGGCGGCUCAGCCGGUUACCCCUGGGGCCUCGGCCGACCAUCUUCCAAGGGCGCCAGCCCGACCCGAGGCCUCGGCUGAUCGACUCCGGCGUCGGCCCCGCUGACGGGCAACUCGGCUAGGCUCCGGCCAACCAGGUUCCCAUCUUCGAGCCAACUCCACCUCUGUUCGUACUGAUAUCGCUACCCCUGGCCUCGGCUCAUCGAAGAGCGGCCGAGGGGUCUCUUUAACUAAGCUAGAGGAGCCUCAGACAACAAGGCCGAUCGAGCCGAGGGAUUCCUACGCCUCCGGGAUACGGAUACCUCACUCGUCACCUUGACACGAGGCGACUCAUGCUUGGUGAAGCGGUUCAGAUAAUCAACCGGCGAGACUUAGUGCUCGAAAAUGAGGAAAAAACACGGCUCCGUGCCGAAAUUACAUACAUGUUCAGGCCUCGACAGCCACAAUGAACAAAAACACUGGCAUUCGAAGUGCCAUUACAAACGGAACUCCGGUUCCCCUCCGCAGGUACGAACAACCCCACUCCAUGGGGAAGGCCUGCGGAGCAACAGAAUACUGACGAGCGGCUCGCCGCCGCCCGCUCUGACUACGACGACGACUCCCGCUCCGGAUGGCCGAGCCGCAGCAGUGCAGGCCUCAGGGUGGGCGCUGCUGCAAUCUUGCCCUCGCCCACGCCGACGCUCGAGGGGCGAGGACAAGUACGAAGAGCCGGAGACCCGGGGCGCGGAUGGUGGCGGUGAUCCCGUCGGCGACGGGGACUUCUCGAGCCGCCUCUGCCUCGACGCUAAUGGCGAGGGCCACCAGCCCCCGGCAGAUCCCCACUCAAAUCCUCCCAGACGAGUGGGGCACCGGCCUCUGCGCGGGGGCGCCAUCCCGGUGCAAAAGCAGGGCCACCCCAGAACACGAACGCCGCCCUAGCAGCGCGCGACAUCGUGGGUGGUCCUCCAUGCACACGACGCGGCAGCCGCCCUCCGGCAGGGGGGGCCGCCGGGAGCCAAGCCGAUGACUCCGACACGCUGGAGGUGACGACGCCCGCCGUCGAUCAGCCCCACGUUGUCUAAGUCUGCGCCGCCCGCAGGGCCAGUGAGCGCCCUCUCCCUCGAACACCGCGGGAAGUGGUGACCCGCGAACCUGCGUGGGAGGUAGAGCGCCGGCUCAGCCCGGCCCCCACCCCAGCGAGGAUGAUGAACAUCCUUGAAGCUGAGGGUGGGACCAAGAUCGCAGCCCGGCUUGCUUCUCCCCACCCAGGAACUGGCGGUCACCGUCUUGGGUGACCACCAGCGGGGGGAAGCGACCGGGCUGCAUGAUGAAAAUCCUUGAAGCCGAACGAUGGCUGAAAGGUACCAACUCCCACGGAGUUGCGUCCCUCCAGCGAGGAGGCAGAAAGACGGCGGAUACCCCCCAUCCGGGGGCUUGGAAGAUGGAAAGACACGACGCAUAAGGGAGGGAGAAGACAUGGUUGCCUUCCGAAAGGGGUCGCCCUCCUUUUAAAGGCAACUCUCCCUACGUGCGCCCCCAAACGCCACGGGCUGAGUCUUCUCCAACACGCUCCAAGGCCCUCCCCUGCGGCGCGGGGGCUGGGUCCCGCAUGUCAUGCAAACCGGCUCAGAGCAGAAGAAGCCAAACCGCCGCGCGUGGUGCACACAACCGCCCAGCAGCUACAGGCGACCCCCCACUUUUGCCCAGACCAACGGGCGGAAGGGGCGGGCAGCCAUGCAGGCGGCAUGCAACCGCGCCAGGUGGACGCGCCUCUCCAACUUCUGACACGCCAGCUUGGAGGCCUAGGCCCACGCGUCACGCAACCAGCGCGCCAGUUGCUGCAUGCAAGCAACCGCACCGCCACUUGCGCCACCGUCGCACCUCUUCGGUUGCGGAGCCUAUGCCGCGACUCAAGGCGACCCAGCGCACGACCCAGCAGCGCCAGCCUGGAGUGACGGUCAAUGCGGCCGAAAGUGGGCCGGCAGUAAUGACGGUGGCAGGCGGGCGGGAGCAGCAGUCACGUCGUCAGCCAGGCUCACGUCCCAUCCAGGGACAGCAAGAGAGCCUCCUCCCACGGCGUGAAGACGGUGCGCCCGUGACCCGUUCCUCGAUCGGCUCGCGCACGCGCAACGGCCGCCCCACCAACCACUCGCCCCGUCGCAUUAACUCUGCGGCGGGUCAGGCGGCGCCUCUGGCAGAAGAAGCGGGCGACGCUUCACCUUCGCCGUAAUAACCGCGCCAAAAAAGGUACGCCGCGUCAUUCGAUUUCGUAUCCUUUUCCUUUUUCCUCUUUCUCUAUCUCUUGCAACAGGGACCGGGAAGAGGGGGAUACCCCGAAAAGGAUCCUUCUCUGUGAAGGAACCGGGCUCCGAGCCCCCCUACUGAUCAGAGGUUCGAAGGCUGGCCCCCCGAAGGGUUCAACAGUCGCCUCAGAUCGCGUGGGCCCGACACCCACUACUGGUCAGGGGUUCGAAGGCCAGCCCCCCGAAGGGCUCCAUGGCCGCCUCAGGCUACUCGGGCUCCGCGCCCAUUACUGAUCAGGGGUUCGAAGGCUGGCCCCCGAAGGGUUCACAGUCGCCUCAGACGCCGAGCGAGGGAUGACCAGGGGUACGUUCGAUACAUAACCGAGGCUCGGGCUGCGCUCCCGAGGUACCCUAGGACAUUUCCGAGACCAGCGGGAGCGAUCUUGUAACGGAAUCCCAUCGGAGGGAGGCAUCGAGCCCUCGGACCCCGUCGCCAGGGGACUGGGUCCGGCAGAUCACCCGCAGGUACUUUUGGGCGUGCCUCUGGGCCCCUAGCCGACCCCCAACGAACGGGGCACGAACGUCCACUCGGAUUACCCGCUUGCAGCUCACUGGAGACACUAUGUUCGGUGCCCAUCGAGGGUAACAUGGCGCUCUCCCCCCCUCCUCCUUGCGGAAAGGCGACGUAGGGGCGUAUAUAAAAAGCCGAGUCUGUCCCUGAUCGCCCUCUCGCCCUAUGCGGAGGCUCGGGGGCUGCUCUCGCAAACCCGGCUCCGGCCAAACCGUUGACAACGUCAACAUACCAGCCCGAGAGCUUGGGCCCCGACCGUGCACCCGGGCUACGGCCAGUUCGCAUGAGGGAACAACCAGACCAGCCGAAGCAUUACGCAAGGCAUUAAGACCUCGAAGGAGUAAAACCACUCCUCCGAGGCCUCGGGGGCUACACCCGGCGGGUGCGCUCGCGCGCACCCACCGGAACAAAAUGCAACCGAGAAAGGCUGGUCCCCUUGCAAAAAAGUGCGACGAAAGCCUCCAAGCGAGUGCUAACACUCCCUUCGAGGCUCGGAGGCUACUGUCGGGGACCAUAAUUAGGGGUACCCUCAAGACGCCUAAUUCUCAGCUGGUAACCCCCAUCAGCAUGAAGCUGCAGAGGCCUGAUGGGUGCGAUUAAGUCAGGGAUCAGUCCAUACGAGUGACUCGAUCACGCUUCGCCCGAGCCUAGCCUCGGACAAGGGCAGCCGACCUUGAGGGACUUCCGUCUCGCCCGAGGCCCCCCCUUUUUACGGCGGACACAUUUCCGGCUCGCCCGAGGCCUUGGCUUCGCUAAGAAGCAACCCUGACUAAAUCGCCGCACCGACUGACCAAGUUGCAGGAGCAUUUAACGCAAAGGUGGCCUGACACCUUUAUCCUGACGCGCGCCCCCAGCAGAGCCGAAGUGACCGUCGUCACUCCACCGCUCCACUGACCGGUCUAACAGGAUAGCGCCGCCUGCGCCACCCCGACUGCAGUGCCACUUGACAGAGUGAGACUGACAGGCAGUCAGGCCUUGCCAAAGGCGCCAUAGGAAACUCCGCUCCACCCGACCCAGGGCUCGGACUCGGGCUAAGCCCCGGAAGACGGCGAACUCCGCUCCGCCCGACCCAGGGCUCGGACUCGGGCUAAGACCCGGAAGACGGCGAACUCCGCUCCGCCCGACCCAGGGCUCGGACUCGGGCUAAGCCCCGGAAGACGGCGAACUCCGCUCCGCCCGACCCAGGGCUCGGACUCGGGCUAAGCCCCGGAAGACGGCGAACUCCGCUCCGCCCGACCCAGGGCUCGGACUCGGGCUAAGCUCCGGAAGACGGCGAACUCCGCUCCGCCCGACCCAGGGCUCGGACUCGGGUUUAGACCCGGAAGACGACGAACUCCGCUCCGCCCGACCCAGGGCUCGGACUUGGGCUCGGCCCCGGAAGACGACGAACUCCGCCUCGCCCGACCCCAGGGCUCGGACUCCGCUCUGGCCUCUGCCGAACGAUCUCCGCCUCGCCCGACCCAGGGGCUCGGGCUCGGCCUCGGCCACGGAAGACAGACUCGACCUCGGCUUCGGAGGAGCCCCCACGUCGCCCAGCCUAGGGCACAGGCCCGCCACGUCAACAGGAAGCGCCAUCAUCAUCCUACCCCGAGCCGACUCGGGUCACAGAGAACAAGACCGGUGUCCCAUCUGGCUAGCUCCGCCAGAUGGGCAAUGAUGGCGCCCCACGAGCUCUGUGACGACGGCGGGUCUCAGCUCUCUUACGGAAGCAGGAGGACGUCAGCAAGGACUGGACCGCUCCGACAGCUGUCCCUCCGCCAAGCUCCGUUGCUCCUCCGACAGCCACGACAUCACGCCAGCAGGGUGCCAAGAUCUCUCCGGAUGCCACAUUGGCAUGUACUUAGGGCGCUAGCUCUCCCUCCGCUAGACACGUAGCACUAUGCUACACCCCCAUUGUACACCUGGAUCCUCUCCUUACGCCUAUAAAAGGAAGGACCAGGGCCUUCUCAGGAAGGUUGGCCGCGCGGGACCGAGGACGGGACAGGCGCUCUCUUGGGGCCGCUCGCUUCCCUCACCCGCGUGGACGCUUGUAACCCCCUACUGCAAGCGCACCCGACCUGAGCGCGGGACGAACACGAAGGCCGCGGGAUUUCCACCUCUCUCACGCCCGUCUCCGGCCACCUCGCCUCUCCCCCCUUCGCGCUCGCCCACGCGCUCGACCCAUCUGGGCUGGGGCACGCAGCACACUCACUCGUCGGCUUAGGGACCCCCCGUCUCGAAACGCCGACACUACUAUUGCAACGACUCAAUCGAUUAUGUGUUUAUGUUGAUUUUGAAUGAUUUUUACUCAAACGAAAUUUAUAGAGGCUGGCUAAACAGCUGAGCGUUUGGCAGUCCGCAACAAGCUUUUGGUGGCCAGAAGCUGCAAAAAACCGAAACAAACAGAUAUCUCUUUAGCAGCUCUAACUCCUCUACCUCAACCACAAAAAUAGCUCCUUCCUUAUUUAAUUGAAACUAUUGAACACCAUAUAUGUCACCUAGAAAAGGGUAGACAGUCCGGCUUUGAGAUCAAAUGGUCUGGGCUGCAGAUGGUGACGAUUCACGAGUUGAUUAUAUCAUAUGUGAUCAACCCAUUUUCCAUGUUUGUUUAUCCAUCUAAACUCGCAGAUUUUGUUGGAGGCGCCUAUGAACCGGUCCAGACCUCUCCCCUUAUAUAUACGAAGGGGUACGGCCGAUUGUAGGCAACAAACAAUCAAACCAAAUCAAUAUAUCUUCUAUUUCUUUACUUUUUCCUAACAGUGGUUGUAACAGACUCUUUAAUCUCAAUCUUCAUCUAUCUUUGACUCUAUGUCAUCUAGAGCCGCAUUGGGUGAUAUGCUGAUACCAAGACAAACCCUAAAAUCUCUCCUCCUUGACUGGGUCCCUCCUAGGAGCGGGAACCAGCUGCUGUUGUGUGAACGUCGUCACCCCUGCGCACACGCGAACCUUUCAGACACCAGGCGUGGAUCGUCUGGCUCGACGCAGGGAAACUCGCUCCUGUCGUUGGGUCGUGGACCGUUCGGCCCUAGGCCAUGAACCGUCCAUGCCGCCGCAAAGAGCCCGCCAAGCGAAACAACUCCUAGUGAUUGAUGCCUAGAUCAAUGCCAAAAUACUUUUUGUCGACUCCGACGGAGAAUCUACGAUUGAUUAAAGGAUAACUCUGAUCUCUCCCUAACAAAAGUAUUAAACUGACUAUGGAUGCCCUAACUUUAAGAUUGGUCCACAACUCGGGACACAUCAUCAUAGUAGGGCUAAAGCAGCCCAAUAUACGUAGCGAAGCAAAAUCAGCGGUCCAAUAGCCACAUGCGUGGUCGGGAAUAGGCGUAACUCUUACUCGAUCAGUACACUCCUAUGAAAAACAACAAAUAAACAAGAGUAAGUACUUACGUACCCAACAGCCCACCUUCAUCCACAAAAUGAGGAAAUCAGAUAUAAUGCAUUGAGUAUGUGGAGUUUAGCGUAUUUUGCAGAAAAGGCAGUUUUGGUGUAGGCCUAAUUAUAAAACAAUCUAUCAUUUUUCAAAGCGCAUCCUCUCUCAGAGGAAUAGGAAGUUUUUCAAAAUGGAACCAAAUCUUUGGACAUCGUACAGGAAUUUGGUAGUUUCACACUGGUUUUCCAUUUUUUAAAAAAUAGCUACUUGAAUUCUCACCAAAGCUCACAACUCAACCGUCGAACCUUUUAAAACUAUUUUCCAAACCAUUUUGGAAGACAAAAUGCUAAUUAUCAAAUCCAUGCCAUAACUCAUCCAUAUAUGUGGGACAUUAACUAUUCCAAUAGAUUUUGAACUUUGUGCGGAGGUGUACACUUUACUCACUUGUCUAGUUUCUCCAAUUCCACCGUCGUGAGAUCAGAAUACUGAAACUCUCUCCUCCCCUGCACGACUUUACUUUGACGGUUAUAUUGAAAGGAACAAGGUCACCUCCUUGCCCAAACCAGGACAGAAUCAUUCCUCCUCCUUGUCAUUCCGGUGCUACCUAACCACCAUAAGCCUAGGGUGCAUACGUGCAAGUUUGGAUCAAGCGACUACCCAUACAAUCUCAAGUGGUUGUACUUGACAAGAGUAUAGGUAAAAAGUGAUGACAAACCGAUCCUUAUGUGAGAGGGACAAUCCUUCAUGCUCACACCUAACCCGACUGAGCAACGCCUUAAAGCCCUCCCAAACCAGGGAGUCCCUGAUCAUCCCGCUCAAAGGUGAUAAGGGUGAUAACCCUUCAUCAUACCCAUUUUGAAAAACAUUUAUCUUAAAAAAAACUCAAAAAAAAUCAAAUCAUUUUUGUAAUUAAAACGUCAAGGAGUAUGAAGAUGAAUUACGACAAAUAUCUAAGGCUGGGUGACCAUGUUAACAUGUCUCUUAGUAGCAAAAUCAUAUAAUGCAUAAAAUAACAGGUUGAGGGAUAUGUUUGAAAACAUAGGUAAUUUAUGCAUCAAAAAUGAUCAGCGAGCUUGUCGUGCUUUAACCGAUAAAUGGGUGAGAGCUUACGGAACCGUGUGGCGUAGACUCACGGAACUGGCCUUCAUGUACGACAUGAACGCUCUGAUAACUACUAACAUGAACAAGCAAACAUACAAACCAAUAAGUAUAUCAACAAAUAUUCAUUGUAUGCGCAUGAAUGGUGGUGGAUGAGUGAAUAUAGUUUCGAGUGAAAGAGUGAAAUAACAUAUGUGAUGGAUAAUCCAUUUCAUGAAAGUUAGACUGGAUAAUAAGAAGGAAUGCAGUUUUCAGGCCAUUAGGGAAAGCUCCCAUGGUUCCAAAUAUAUAUUCACAAGACAUUGCAGUUUAUAGUCAUAUAUUUUUUUAAACAGAGUUUCUAGUUGUAUUUGACAAUAUGUUAUAUAAUGGUAUACUUAUUCAAACAAGUUCUAAGCCUUUACAGUAAUGGUAAUCAUGAAGAUAAAAUCACAUGUGAUUAUUUAGUAGAACACUUGACAUUCACAAAACAUACAAACUUCUUACAUCGAACAUGAAUUGGUUUACUAAAUAAGAUAUAAAACAUAUAAAGCCACGCUCAAAUUUCCAUCAGGACAUGCUUAGACUUGCUACUUUUCCUUAAACCUGCAUCUCAAUCACCUUAGAAAUGCAUGUUGGUAUGCUCAAAUUUCCAUCAGGAUGUGCCUAGGAUUGCUAUUUUUUUCUAAAACAAACAUCCUAAUCUCCUUCAUUUAACUGGUUACUACCAUAAAUAGUUUAAAAAAUAUACCUAACCUAAUGCUAUCAUAAACAAAUGAACACAGUAGGGCCGGUGAAUAAAGAAAAUAAGUACAAAUCAAAUUGGCCCAUGCACAACUAAAGUCACGGUAAUCAAGUGACUAUAACUAUAUGACCCAAAAAACAGGGCAAUGAAUAAAAAGGACUGAGCACAUUAAUUAUUCAAAGAAAAAAAAGUAGAAGCAUCCAACAGGGCAUUACUUUGAACAAUUGUUGUGCAUCCAGAGCUACGUUCGUAGAGGAGAGAUCCCACAAGCAUUAGCUGCAGAAAGGAUCCAAAUGAGGCUGCAUGCGAAUUAAAAGCAAUGCUAGUGUGUCAUUGUGUGAAGGCAGACCGUACUUGGCGGCGCAUCGUCAAGCGCAAUAGAGACUAAGGAGGGAGGAGCAGUGAGCAUGAGAAAUAGUGAGCAGAGACUGGUGGCGCGUUGUUAUCGUCGGUGGACUCAGCGUCGGCUUCGAUGCCGCGACGAAGAAAUCCAGCGACAACCCCCGCUGAUUGUCUUCUCCCUCGUUUCUGACGAUGGACUCGGUAUAAUUGUUUCUCCCUCCUUUUCGCGCACUCGGACCAUUGUCGCUGUAAGUAGAUGUGCCCUUAGGCUAUUUCUAUAAUAUUUUGGUGAUUAAGUGCCCAAUAUAUUCGAUUAAGUUCUUAUGUGCUCAAUAAAGAGAGAAGUGCAAAUCAUAUAUUAAGGUAUGUUUCUAGACUUAGUAGUUGGUUUUGUAUACUAAUAUAUUUGUCUAAGUGUUAGAAGCAGAGAAAAGAAGAAAAGAAAAUAAUUGCAAAAUACUUGGCUGGGUGCAGCCGAAGUCCAGCUUGGUCUGGCACACCGGACUGUCCAGUGGUGCACCAGGACUCCGGUGAAAAGGCCGCUCUUGGGAAAAAUCAGCGGCGUACGACUAUAAUUCACCGGACUGUCCGGUGAGCCAACGGUCGCCAGCGCAACGGUCGGUCGCGCAAUUCGCGGGGGACGCGUGGCCCGCACCAACGGUCGGCAGGGGCACCGGGACUGUCCGGUGCGCCAACUGGCCCGGAGCUGCAACGGUCAUCUGCGCCAGAAAGGAAGAGAUCAGCACCGGACCGUCUACAGUGAUUGUCCGGUGAUCCACUCGACAGAAGGCAAGGAUGACCUUCCUUGUUGGCCUCAACGGCUCCUAGCUGCCUUGGGGCUAUAAAAGGAACCCCUAGGCACAAGGAGGAUCUACACAAGCUUACAAGAAACAUUGUAAGACUCCAAGACUCCAACUUCACGCAUUCGAUUCUUUGUGAUAGUGACUUGAGCUCCAUUUGAGUUGUGAACUCCGUGCGUUGUGUUUUGAGCUCAAGUUGUGACUUGUGUGCGUAGUUGUGCUACGAUUUGUGUCUUGCGUGUGUUGCUCAUCCCAACCUUACUCCAUGCUUUCAUUGUGAUCUUUGUUGUAAGGGAGAGGACUCCAAUAUUGUGGAUAUUCCUCGCAAACGAGAAUAAUCAUCUAAAGGAAAAACUGUGGUAUUCAAGUUGAUCAUCGGAUCACUUGAAAGGGGUUGAGUGCGACCCUCGUCCAUUGGGACACCACAACGUGGAAAGUAGGCAAGUGUUACUUGGCCAGACCACGAGAUAAAAAUCACGUGUCUUGUGUUUGAUCUCUCUGUGAUUGUUUUGUCCACAAGAACUCGCUUCUCAACUACUUAGUCGCACUAACAUUUCUAUAACCAAGAUUUGUGGCUAUUUAGUGUUGAAUUUUACAGGAUCACCUAUCCAGCCCCCCUUCUAGGUGCUCUCAAUUGGUAUCGGAGCCGUACUCUUCAUCUAAGGGACUAAUCGCCCGAAGAGAUGGAUCCUAAGAGAAAGGGGAUGGUGGUCCAACGACAAGGAGAAGGAGUCCCUCUUCAACGAGCCAAGGGACGACAAGCCCACUGACUCAGGAUCGAGUCACAAGAAGAGGGGCGGGAAGAAGAAGAGGCGCAUCAAGAAGAUCAUUUACUAUGACAGUGACGCCUCCUCUUCUUCACCAAGAGACGACGACAACGGCUCGUCCAAAAAGAAACCGGUUUAAUCAAAACUAUUCAUUUGAUUAUUCACGUAUUCCAUUCAAUUCUAAUGCUCAUUUGCUAUCAAUUCCUCUUGGUAAACCUCCACACUUUGAUGGAGAAGACUACUCUUUUUGGAGUCACAAAAUAAAGCAUCCCAAAAUUCAAAUCUUGAAAAUUUCUCAAACUCCCUCUAAAUUUAAAAUGAAUUUCAAAUUUUGUUUCAAAAUGUUUGUUUGCAAGUUGAUAUCAACGAAUAAAUUAUAGUGGUCUAUAUUCUCUCCAAAAUCCUCCUCAAAAUAUCCUACAGAUAUUUCUCCAAUGACCCCCCUCAAAUUCUUUCUAGAAAUACUGCCCAGAUAUUUCCCGAGUAAUCCCCUUCAAGUUCUUUCCAGAAAUAUUGCACAAAAUAUUCCAUCAAUAUAUCUCCAAGUAUUUUCCUCUUGAGAAAUACCUUCAGAAUCAUUUUUCAAGUCCCUAUAAAUAUUUUCUUCAUAACUUUCCUCAUGCUCAUACGUAUACGUAUGCCUCCAGUGUCAUGCGGUGAGCUCUACAAGCUAAUAUCACUUAUACAAGACAAAUACAUGCUAAUCUCUCACUAAUCCUCUCAUCCUCCCACUAAUCCUCUCAUCCCUACCCCUAAUCCCCCCACCAUGACUACAAAUAGAGGGGCAAGGGCCUCCUCUCAUCCCACCCCAAGCCAUUUCAUGGCAACUCUCUUCCCCCCACACGCCCCACUCCACCUCCCACACAAAGCACACACUAGCACAAGGAUCGUUCGGCCGUUCUUCGAUCGUGCGUCCCCCUGGUCUUAGUUUGUUCGUUCGUUCGUUCGAUCGUUCGAUCGUUCGUCCGAUCGUUCAUAGUUCGUUCGUCCGUUCGUUCGUCCAAAUAAUCUUUUUCCUGUCGUUAUGCUGCCGAAUUCCGAUCGUUCGUUCGUUCGAUCAUUCGAUCGUUCAUCGUUCGUGUCAUAGUUCCUAUUCAUCGUUCAUAGUCCCUAUUUAUCGUUCUUCCAGAUAAUCUUUGUUCUGCCGUUAUGCCGCCGAAAUUCCGAUAGUUCGUUCAUCCGUUCGUUCGUCCAAAUAAUCUUUUUCCUGUCGUUAUGCUGCCGAAAUUCCGACCGUUCGUUCGUUCAAUCAUUCGAUCGUUCAUCGUUCGUUCAUAGUUCCUACUCAUCGUUCAUCGUUCGUUCAUAGUCCCUAUUCAUCGUUCUUCCAGAUAAUCUUUGUCCUGCCGUUAUGCUGCCGAAAUUCCGAUCGUUCGUUCGUCCGAUUAUUCGAUCGUUCGUCCGUUCGUUCAUAGUUCCUAUUCUUCGUUCAUCGUCACUAUUCAUCGGUCAUCGUUCGUUCAUGCGACUAUUCACCAUCACCGUUCACCAUUACUGCUCACCAUUACUAUUCAUCGUUACUAUUCAUCGCCACCCUUCACCAUCAUUACUAUUCAUCGAUGCUAUCUAUAAUUACUUUUUUGUCGUCACUAUUCAUCAUUACUAUUCAUCAAUCAUCUGAUCACCCCAAAUUUUAACUACUCAUCCAUCAUGUUGUCUAGUCCACCUAAGACCAUAUUCCAGUCAUCGUUCGUUCAUGCGACUAUUCACCAUCACUGUUCACCAUUACUAUUCAUCGUUACUAUUCAUCGCCACCCUUCACCAUCGUUACUAUUCAUCGAUGAUAUCUAUAAUUACUUUUUUUGUUGUCCCUAUUCAUCAUUACUAUUCAUCAAUCAUCUGAUCACCCCAAAUUUUAACUACUCAUCCAUCAUGUUGUCUAGUCCACCUAAGACCAUAUUCCAGUCAUACGAACUCCGGUGACUGUGAUUUUCCUUCCAGUGGAAACUUCCCAUCUGGUCACCCAUCCCAGGUUUCUCCAAGUUGAGCACGCUUAACUUUGAGAUUCCUUCGAAUCAGGCUUCCAAACUCAGAUUCCAAUAAUUAUUGUUUCUAAAUUCUUAUCAAACUAUUCUCUAUCCAACCAUGUCAUUCCUUAAGCAUGGUUCAUAUUCCAGAAAAUUCCCAAAAUACUCUUGUCCCAUAUUCUGUCUAUAACUCUUCUGUUCAUACUAAGUCAGACGAUUCAUUCGUCAUCAUUCUCAACAACAGUGAACUUCAUUGUGCUACACCACAUACACCCAGCUAUAAAUACACCCCAGCUACCCUCUCCCUCUCCACACACACUCAAACACCCUCAGCCAAGGAAAACACCCACCCACUCAGUUACUCUGCUCUGUCGGCUACACACAUAGUGUCGCUUCGCCUCCAGUCCACCCUCCUGGUAAGCACCUCCGCUCCACCACCAGUAAUAUCACAACACCACAUGACACAGAUUCUACUCAAGACUCUACCCAUCCAUAUAUCACUAUUCUGACCACUAUACUAAAUAUUUGUUGGUAUACUUGCUUGUUUGUAUGUUUGCUUAUUCAUGUUGCAUAGUUAUCGGGAGCGUUCGUGCCGUCUCGUGGAGGUCAGAUCUGCAAGUCUACGCCAGACAGUGGAGCUAGAAGCCAGUUCCGCGAGCUCCCCUUCCCCCUUCGCCGGAUAAGCACGGCAAGCUCACUGGAUCCCUUUGAUGCAUAAAUUACCUAUGAUUUUUCAACCACAACCCUCAGCCUGUUAUUUUAUGCAUGAUAUAAUUUUGAGACAAGUUAUUAUGGCCACCCAGCCGCUUGCCGCAAUCAAUCCUUGAUAUAUUUGUUCCAAAUGAUUUGAGAAAAGGUGUGAGUUUUCAAAAGAAAAUGCUUUUCAAAAUGUGUAUGAUGAAGGGUUUUCACCUUUAUCACCUUGUGAGUGGGAUGAUCAGGGACUCCCUGGUAGGGGUGUAAACGAUACAGAUAUUAUCCGACCAUCCGACCGUCUGAAGAGGCUAAUUAUUUCGUUGGAUAGUUUUUUCGGAUAUCCGCAGAAUUUUCGGAUUUCGGAUAGUACAGUUCGGAUAUCGGAUACGGAUAUGAUAUGACUGAUAUCCGUCGGAUUUCGGAAUAUCCGGAUAUCUUCUCGGAUAACUGUUCGGAUUUCAUAUUUCGGAUAUCCGGACAUCUUACCAGAUUUCACAUUUCAGAUAUUCAGAUAGUUACAUGUGGAAUCGCCCUAAAUAUCCAAGUUUCAACAUAAUCAAUAUUCACUUUAUCAUUUUCAUAUGGGGAUUUGAGGUUAUGUUCUUAUAUAAUGUUUAUUGUUCCUGGUAACAUAUUUGCAAUUUUCGGUCGAUAGUGGAAUAUUUUAUGAAUUUAAAUGCAUUUUGAUAAUUUUCUAUAGAAAAAACUAUAAUAAUACACAAAAUAGUCUCAAAAAAUCAUGAAAUUUGACGAAGGAGUAAUAUAUGCCUAUAUAGCAUCCUCAAAAAUGUUUGGGCCAUAAAAUCUAAAGAUUGCCAAUAUUUAUUUCAAUUCACUUUCACUUGUUACGUGAGUUACAUGUGAUAUCACCUUAACUAUCCAAAUUUUAACAUAUCAAUACUUCACUUAUCAUUUUCACAUAGGAACUUCAUAUUAUCUUUAAUAGAAUGUUUAUUGGUCCUGGUAACUUAUUUGCAAUUUUUGGUAGACACUAGAUUAUUUUUAUGAUUUUUAAUUACAUUUUUGAUGAUUUUUUGUAGAAAGAAAUUAAUAAUACACAAACAGCCUUAGAAAUUCAUAAAAUUUUGACGGAGGGUUUAACAUUUGUCUACAUAAAAUUCUAAAAAUGUUUGGGCCAUAAAGUCCAUAAGAUGUCAGUGAUUCUUUUCAAUUUUCUUACACUUCUUGUGUGAGUUACACGUGAAAUCAGCUUAAGUAUCCAAGUUUCAACAUAACAUUUACUUCACUUUCUCAUUUUCAUGUAGGGACUUGAGGUUAUCUUCUUAUGAAUGUUUAUUAGUCUUGAUAACUUAUUUGCAAUUUUUGGUCGAUACUAUAAUAUUUUAUGGAUUCAAAUGCAUUUUGAUGAUGUUCUGCAAAAAGAAUUUAAUAAUAUACAAAUCGACUCAGAAAUUCACGAAAUUUGGCGUGUGAGUAACAUAUGUCCAUAUAGCAUCCUCAAAAAUGUUUGAACCAUAAAAAACCACAAGAUGUCAUCAAUUAUUUCAUUUUAUUUCCACUUAUUUGUGAAACCCGUAAUGAUUACAUGUGAAACCACCAUAAUAAUAAGUGAAACCACAUAUCAUAAUAACACGUGAAACUGCAUCUCAUAGUUAUCAAUGUUUUAUGAAUUUAAUUGCAUUUUAAUGAUUUUCUUACAUAAAGAAAUUAAUAAUACUCGAAAUAGCCUUAGAAAUUCAUGGAUUUUUAUGGAGGUGUAGCAUAUGUGCACAUAUAUCCUAAAAAAUGUUUUGGACUAAAGGAGGGGCUAAAUGAUUACAACUAUGAUAUGUGUGGAAUGGUGUCUUACACGAUAUCCGACAAAAAUAUUCGUUACCGACGCUAUCCGUGUCCGAUUAGCUCCGUAUUCGAUCCACGACUAUCCGUAUUUGUAUUCGAGAACAUUCGUAUUCGAAGCUAUCCGUAUUCUCGCCAGCUUCGGGAAUCCGCUCCGCUAUAAUCACCGGACAUGUCCGGUGCACACCGGACUGUCCGGUGAGCCAGCGGAGCAACGACUACUUCGCGCCAACAGUCGUCUGCAACGCAUUAAAUGCGCGCCAGCGCGCGCAGAGGAGCAGAGCACGCGCGGUGGCACACCAGACAGUCUAUAGGACUUGUCCGGUGCACCACUGGACAGCCAGGCGGGCCCACACGUCAGAGCUCCAAUGGUCGGAACCCAACGACCUGGUGACGUGGCUGGCGCACCGGACAGUGUCCGGUGGCGCACCGGACUGUCCGGUGCGCCAUGCGACGCAGCCUCCACCAAACAGCUAGUUUGGUGGUUGGGGUUAUAAAUACCCCCAACCACCCCACAUUCAAGUCAUCCAAGUUUUCCACCUUCCAACCACUUAUAAGAGCUAGGCAUUCAAUACAAAACACACCCAAGUAAUCAAAUCCUCUCCCAAUUCCACAAAAGCUUUAGUGUUAAGUGAGAGUGAUUUGUUGUGUUCUUUUGAGCUCUUGCGCUUGGAUUGCUUUCUUUCUCAUUCUUUCUUGAGAUCAAACUCACUUGUAAUUGAGGCAGAGACACCAAUCAUGUGGUGAUCCUUGUGGGAACUUUGUGUUCCAAGUGAUUGAGAAGAAAAGCUCACUCGGUCUAAGGGACCGUUUGAGAGAGGGAAAGGGUUGAAAGAGACCCGGUCUUUGUGACCACCUCAACGGGGAUAGGUUUGCAAGAACCGAACCUCGGUAAAACAAAUCCGCGUGUCACACCUUUAUUCGCUUGCGAUUUGUUUUACUCCCUCUCUCUCGGACUCGUUUCUAUUUCUAACGCUAACCCGACUUGUAGUUGUGAUUAAUUUUGAGAAUUUCAGUUUUGCCCUAUUCACCCCCCUCUAGGCGACUUUCAGUGGCCCACGCCAACGGUCGGCAGGGGCACCGGACUGUCCAGUGCGCCAACUGCCACGGCGCUGCAACGGUCGGCUACGCCAUAUUAGGAAGGAGAUUGCGCACUGGACAUGAACAGUGACUGUCCGGUGGUGCACCAGACUGUCCGGUGCGCCACCCGACAGAAGGCAAGGACAACCUUCCUUGUUGGCCUCCAAUGGCUCCUAGCUGCCUUGGGGCUGUAAAAGGGACCCCUAGGCGCAUGGAGGAGUCAACCAAGCACACUCUAAGCAUUCCAAGACUUCUAGUCCUCACUUUCACACAAUCGUUCAUCGUUCUUGAGAUUGGAGCACUUUUCGAGUUGUAAACUCCGCGCGUGCUUUGUAUGCUCAUCUUCUCACUUGUGUGCGUGUUUUCGGUGUGGAUUUAAUUCUAGUGUGCGUUGCUCUUCCCAACCUUACUCCGUGCUUUCAUUGUGAUCUUUGUUGUAAGGGCAAGAGACUCCAACUUGUGGAGAUUCCUCGCAAACGGGAAAAAGAGAUAAGCAAAGAAAAGCUGUGGUAUUUAAGUUGAUCAUUGGAUCACUUGAAAGGGGUUGAGUGCAACCCUCGUCCAUUGGGACGCCACAACAUGGAAGUAGACAAGUGUUACUUGGCCGAACCACGGGAUAAAAUCGUGUGUCUCUUGUGUUGAUCUCUUUGUGAUUGUCUUGGCCACAAGAACUCGCUUCGCAACUACUUAGUCACACUAAAAUUUGUAUAACCAAGAUUUGUGGCUAUUAGUUAUUGAAUUUACAGGAUCACCAAUUCACCCCUCUAGGUGCUCUCAAUGGUAUCGGAGCUGUUCUCUUCACGUAAGGGACUAAUCGCCCGAAGAGAUGGAUCCUAAGGGAAAGGGGAUGUUGGUCAACGAUAAGGAGAAGGAGUCAAUUUUCAACGAGCCAAGGGACGACAAGCCCACUGACUCUGGUUCAAGUCACAAGAAGAAGGACAGGAAGAAGAAGAGGCGCAUCAAGAAGAUCGUCUACUACGACAGCGACGAAUCUUCUUCUUCACCAAGAGAUGAUGACGACGAGAAAAAGAAACCGGUUAAUUCAAAAUUUUCAUUUGAUUAUUCUCGUAUUCCUUUUAAUUCCAAUGCUCAUUUGCUUUCAAUUCCUCUUGGUAAACCUCCACACUUUGAUGGAGAGGACUACUCUUUUUGGAGUCACAAAAUGCAUAGUCACCUAUUUUCUCUCCAUACUAGUAUAUGGGAGAUAGUUGAAAAUGGAAUGCAAUUUGAUAGUACGGAUAACCCUGUGUUUAUUAACGAGCAAAUUCAUAAAAAUGCACAAGCUACCACUGUUUUGCUAGCAUCUUUGUGCAGGGAUGAGUACAACAAGGUGAGCGGCUUGGACAACUCCAAGCAAAUCUGGGACACCCUCAAAAUAUCACAUGAGGGAAACGACGCCACCAUUCGCUAUGAUCAGGGGAGAGGAGCCAACACAAGACGUACAACAGGCUCAAGACUCUGGUCAACAAGAUUAGGAGCUAUGGAAGCACGAGAUGGACGGACCACGACGUCGUCCGACUUAUGCUCAGGUCCUUUACUGUUAUUGACCCUCAUCUUGUGAACCUCAUCCGUGAACAUCCCAGGUACAAAAAGAUGACGCCCGAGAAGAUACUUGGAAAAUUUGUGAGCGGGCGCAUGAUGGUCAAGGAGGCAAGGUAUGUUGAUGAUGCAUUAAACGGCCCCAUGCCCAUCUACGAGCCGCAGCCCGUUGCGCUCAAGGCAACAAGCAGCAGGGAAGCGCUACCAAGCAAGGUGGCACAAGUUGAGGCUGCCGGGCUAAACGAAGAUGAGAUGGCUCUAAUCAUCAAGCGUUUCAAGACCACGCUAAAAGGAGGCAAGGAGUAUCCCAACAAGAGCAAAGCAAAGGGAAAUUGCUCCUGCUUCAAAUGCGCUAAAACCGGUCACUUUAUUGCAAACUGCCCCGAUAAUGAUAGUGACCAGGGUCAAGAAAAGAGCGGGAAGAGGGAGAAGAAGAAGGCCUACAAGAAGGCGAAGGCGAGGCGCAUCUUAGCAAAGAAUGGGAUUCAGACUGCUCUUCCUCCGACUCUGACGACGAAGGACUUGCUGCCUCAGCCUUCAACAAGUCCUCUCUCUUCCCCAAUGAAUGCCAUACUUGCCUCAUGGCAAAGGAGAAAAAGGUUUAUGCAUCCAGGGGAUCAAGCUGGAUUAUCGACAGCGGAUGCACAAACCACAUGACGGGAGAGAAGAAGAUGUUCAUCUCCUACGUCAAGAACAAAGAUUCCCGGACACGAUUAUUUUUGGAGAUGGAACCAAGGCAAGGAUAAAGGCUGUGGAAAGAUAGCCAUCACAAGCGAGCAUUCCAUAUCCAAUGUAUUCUUAGUAGAGUCAUUAGGAUAUAAUAUUCUGUCUGUAAGUCAAUUGGCCACAUGGGCUACAAUUGCUUGUUUACAAAUGUUGAUGUUUCUGUCUUUAGAAGGAGUGAUGGUUCAUUAGCGUUUAAGGGUGUAUUAGACGACAAACUCUACUUAGUUGAUUUUCGAAAGAGGAGGCCGAUCUAGAUGUGUGCUUAAUAGCUAAGACUAGCAUGGGCUGGCUGUGGCAUCGCCGUCUAGCACAUGUUGGGAUGAAGAACCUUCAUAAACUUUUAAAGGGAGAAUUGUGUUAGGACUAACCAAUGUCUGCUUCGAAAAAGAUAGACCUUGUGCAGCUUGUCAAGCAGGGAAACAGGUGGGAAGCACUCAUCACAACAAGAAUGUGAUGACUACAUCAAGACCAUUGGAGCUUCUCCAUAUGGAACUCUUCGGACCCGUCGCCUACCUUAGCAUCGGGGAAGUAAGUAUGGUUUAGUAAUUGUUGAUGAUUUUUCCCGCUUCACUUGGGUAUUCUUUUUGCAGGAUAAAUCAGAAACCCAAGGGACCCUAAAGCACUUUUCUAAGAAGGGCUCAAAAUGAGUUUGAGCUCAAGGUGAAAAAGAUAAGAAGCGACAACGGGUCCGAGUUCAAGAAUCUGCAAGUGGAGGAGUACCUUGAGGAGGAAGGCAUCAAGCACGAGUUCUCCGCUCCCUACUCAACCACAGCAAAAUGGUGUGGUAGAGAGGAAGCACAUGACGCUUAUCGACAUGUCGAGGACGAUGCUUGGAGAGUUCAAGACGCCUGAGUGAUUUUGGUCGGAAGCUGUGAAACACAGCUUGCCACGCCAUAAACCGGCUCUACCUUCAUCGCCUCCUCAAGAAGACCUCUGUGACACCCCAGUGUCACUCAGGGUUUUUCUCAAAAGCCAAACCAAGAACCAUCAUUUUAUGUGAACCAAAGUAAGCAUGAACAACAAAACAAUUUAAGUGAGAAAGAAUUCACCAAGUAUAUACUUAAAAGUGUCUUGGUCAAAACAAUUGAGACUUUUGAAAGAUAAGAAUGUGCAACCCUAAUUCAAAACCCUAAGUAAGCCCCAUGAACAAAAUUCAAGAAAAUAUGAAAAAGAGGAUGAAAAGUUUAAAAUUUUGAGUUGAGCCAAUUAUAUAAGUUAAAAUAUAAUUAUUAAGCAAAAAGAAAGAUUGAGAAGGCUUAGCCAAAAUAACUCAAUUAAAUCCCCAAAUCAGCCCUUGAUCAAUGAACCCUUAGAGAAAUUCAGAUUUCUGAAUUUCUGAAUUUCAGACCUCUUCUCAAAGAUCAUCUGUGUUCUCUGCUUUUCAAAACUCAAAGCCAGAAGAUCCAAAUAUCAAAGUCGUGCCAAAUUACCUUGAACACAUUCUGGGAAAGUUUGAACUCAAACCAAAUUCAUUUGACACGGUUUUGGCGCAGCUUAACCUCGGAACCAGGCAUUCUGACACUGGCACCUUGGUGACGCUACAACUCCUGUCCCUAGCCUAAAACCGCACGUCGUCCAUACACAAAAGACAAAGCUUGGUCUGGUGAACAAAUCCCUUGCAGUGAUCUUGCCCAAAUUCGCGAAGAUUUGCUCCCAAUCGGCGCUUGAACAGGGGCAGAGGCAACGGAACACGUGUUCGACCGCGGCUGACACCCCUGGUUCAGCCCGUUCGCGCACCGCGCCUUCCCAGUGCACGCCCGCGCGCACUCGCCGGUCCACGACCGCCCGUGCACCGCGCCGUGCCUAUAAAGCCUUCCCAGGCGCCGCCCACUUCGCCCCGCACUCACCCUCCACGGCCAACCCCUUUCCCUUAGCUCCGGCGAGCUUAUUUCCGCCCGCCAUUGCCGCCAGAGCUUCGGCCAUCGUGGCCAGCCCACUCCAGCCAUCCUCUGGCAAGCCAGUGCUUCGGCUAGCUCCGCUAGUAGCCCGUGAAGCUUGCCAAGCCUCGGACCCGACCGGACUUCACCGGAGGCCCGAGAUCAACCUCACCGGACUUCGGUCUUCCGCCGCCGCGCGUGGACCGAGCUAUCCAGUGAGUCUCCGCCGAUUCCUUUCGCUCAUGUCUUCUCUGGCAUCCCGUGGACCUCCCUGACCUAUUUGAUUGAACUAUCUCGUCGUUACCAGGCCGGUCUCCUCGCCGCCGACGAGCAUCCCCGCCUGCGCGCGUGGACCGACCGACUCCGGCCAUCUCCGACGGCGUUCGCACACCGUUGUGAUCCCCGCGACCUCCCCUUCGUCCUCGACCACUUCACCGGAACAGUCUCGCCGCCGGUAAGCCCCUCCGCCCUUUUCUUCGCCGCGGCUACUGUUUAAGGUAGAAGAAGGACCUCGGGUUAGGAUUGUAGAACCCGAGGGGUUUUCUGUAAGGUCAGUGACUCAUGUGAAUAGUAACCUAAGGACUGAUUCGCGAGGAAACUUAGAAAACCGCCAGGGACCCAGUGCAAAGUGGAUUUCCAUUUAAUCAAUUCUGUAUUCUUUUUAAAAUACCAGAGAACUUAGAAAAUCCAUAACUUGAUGAAAACUUAAAUAAAAGUUGUCAAACCAAUUUUGCUAGCUCUGGAAUAUUAUGAUCUAUCAUUUAAAAAUAGUGAACCAUAUGCUUUCUGUUCUAAAUUUUAGAGUUUAAAAUUAAAAACAGAAACCACUAAACCUUGUUUAUUAAGGAAAAUUAGUUUUUCUUUUGUGCUGAGCUUAAGAAAAUUUGUAGAUGUUUAUACCUUAUUUAGACACUGUUUAAAAAUAGUAGGAACCCCAGCAUUGAAAAUUAUGAUGUAGUUAUUCAUUUAAAGCUAUUUUGUCCAAAACUUAGAGAAAUCACCGACUGUUCCGACGGAAGCCGCAGCCUUGACGACGAGGACUGCGGCCCAAGCCCGCAAUGUUUCCACGUUCGAGCUAGGGGAUCCUCCGAAAGGCAAACCAUCUUGGCAUGCCGGAGGAUGUGAUUCUUCCUAGAUGCCGGUGCCCCCGCUCCGACAUCCCGCGGGAGCUAGCUGUGGUCCCCGUUCUGGGGGGGUCCGCGACCCACAGCUCGAGCAGUCCCGCGGGGCGCAGGCCAGGCUCGACGAGGGAACAGGAGCACUUGAGACGAUCCGUGGGACGUCGGGCAGGUAUGGCGGGCCAACCCCGCCGGAGAAAUACGUCACCUGCCCCAGGGUCUCCAGCACCGCGUCGCCACGAUGUCAGGGUCAGGCCGCGCCCGCAUCCAGCAGGGUUGGUCAGAACCUGGCAGCCGCCGCGAUGCUCCUCCGCGCGAUGCCCGGAGCCAUCAACCACCGAGGGUCGGCGAAUCCAGGGAGAGCUCAAGAAUCUCCUGGAAGGCGCUGCGGCCCGACGGGCCGAGAGCACUGCCUCCCGGAGGCAGGGAUACCCCUCGGAACCUCACGCCGCGACUUCCCGAUUCAUGCGGGAAGCCUCGGUCUACACCGGCGCACGCGCAACACCGCGCCUGCGACCCCGGGCCACCUCGGCAACGAGCACCACCGUCGCGACCGUCGGGCUCACCUCGACGAAAGGGUGCGCCGAGGCUACCACCCCAGGCGUGGGGGGCGCUACGACAGCGGGGAGGAUCGGAGUCCCUCGCCCGAACCACCCCGGUCCGCAGGCCUUCAGUCGGGCCAUCCGACGGGCGCCGUUCCCGACCCGGUUCCGACCCCCGACUACUAUCACGAAGUACUCGGGGGAAACGAGACCGGAACUGUGGCUCGCGAACUACCGCCUGGCCUGCCAACUGGGAGGGACGGACGACGACAACCUCAUCAUCCGUAACCUCCCCCUGUUCCUCUCCGACACUGCUCGUGCCUGGUUGGAGCACCUGCCUCCGGGGCAGAUCUCCAACUGGGACGACUUGGUCCAAGCCUUCGCCGGCAAUUUCCAGGGCACGUACGUGCGCCCCGGGAAUUCCUGGGACCUCCGGAGCUGCCGGCAACAGCCGGGAGAGUCUCUCCGGGACUACAUCCGGCGAUUCUCGAAGCAGCGCACCGAGCUGCCCAACAUCACCGACUCGGAUGUCAUCGGCGCGUUCCUUGCCGGCACCACCUGCCGUGACCUGGUGAGCAAGUUGGGUCGCAAGACCCCCACCAGGGCGAGCGAGCUGAUGGACAUCGCCACCAAGUUCGCCUCUGGCCAGGAGGCGGUUGAAGCUAUCUUCCGAAAGGACAAGCAGCCCCAGGCCGCCCAUCGGAAGAGGCUCCCGAGGCGUCUACUCCGUGCGGCGCCAAGAAGAAGGGCAAGAAGAAGUCGCAAUCGAAACGCGACGCCGCUGACGCGGACUUGUCGCCGCCGCCGAGUACAAGAACCCUCGGAAGCCCCCCGGAGGUGCUAACCUCUUCGACAAGAUGCUCAAGGAGCCGUGCCCCUACCAUCAGAGGCCCGUCAAGCACACCCUCGAGGAGUGCGUCAUGCUUCGGCGCCACUUCCACAGGGCCGGGCCACCCACGGAGGGUGGCAGGGCCCGCGACGACGACAAGAACGAAGAUCACCAAGCAGGAGAGUUCCCCGAGGUCCGCGACUGCUUCAUGAUCUACGGUGGGCAUGCGGCGAAUGCCUCGGCUCGGCAUCGCAAGCAAGAGCGCCGGGAGGUCUGCUCGGUGAAGGUGGCGGUGCCAGUCUACCUAGACUGGUCCGACAAGCCCAUCACCUUCGACCAGGCUGACCACCCCGACCAUGUGCCGAGCCCGGGGAAAUACCCGCUCGUCGUCGACCCCAUCGUCGGCAACGUCAGGCUCACCAAGGUCCUGAUGGAUGGGGGCAGCUGCCUCAACAUCAUCUACGCCGAGACCCUCAAGCUCCUGCGCGUCGAUCUGUCCUCCGACCGGGCAGGCGCUGCGCCCUUCCACAGGAUCAUCCCUGGGAAGCGCGUCCAGCCCCUCGGGCGGCUCGACCUUCCCGUCUGCUUCGGAAUGCCCUCCAACUUCCGAAGGGAGACCUUGACGUUCGAGGUGGUCGGGUUCCGAGGAACCUACCACGCGGUACUGGGAAGGCCAUGCUACGCGAAGUUCAUGGCCGUCCCCAACUACACCUACCUGAAGCUCAAGAUGCCGGGCCCCAACGGGGUCAUCACCGUCGGCCCCACGUACAAACACGCGUUCGAAUGCGACGUGGAGUGCGUGGAGUACGCCGAGGCCCUCGCCGAGUCCGAGGCCCUCAUCGCCGACCUGGAGAACCUCUCCAAAGAGGUGCCAGACGUGAAGCGCCAUGCCGGCAACUUCGAGCCAGCGGAGACGGUUAAGGCCGUCCCUCUCGACCCCAGUGGCGACACCUCCAAGCAGAUCCGGAUCGGUUCCGGGCUCGACCCCAAAUAGGAAGCAGUGCUCGUCGACUUUCUCCGUGCAAACGCCGACGUCUUUGCGUGGAGUCCCUCGGACAUGCCCGGCAUACCGAGGGAGGUCGCCGAGCACUCGCUGGAUAUUCGGGCCGGAGCCCGACCCGUCAGGCAGCCUCUGCGCCGAUUCGACGAGGAGAAGCGCAGAGUGAUAGGCGAGGAGAUCCACAAGCUAAUGGCGGCAGGGUUCAUCAAAGAGGUAUUCCAUCCCGAAUGGCUUGCCAACCCUGUGCUUGUGAGGAAGAAAGGGGGGAAAUGGCGGAUGUGUGUAGACUACACAGGUCUCAACAAAGCAUGUCCGAAGGUUCCCUACCCUCUGCCUCGCAUCGAUCAAAUCGUGGAUUCCACUGCUGGGUGCGAAACCCUGUCCUUCCUCGAUGCCUACUCAGGGUAUCACCAGAUCCGGAUGAAAGAGUCCGACCAGCUCGCGACUUCUUUCAUCACGCCGUUCGGCAUGUACUGCUAUGUCACCAUGCCGUUCGGUUUGAGGAAUGCGGGUGCGACGUACCAGCGGUGCAUGAACCAUGUGUUCGGCGAACACAUCGGUCGCACAGUCGAGGCCUACGUCGAUGACAUCGUAGUCAAGACAAGAAAGGCUUCCGACCUCCUCUCCGACCUUGAAGUGACAUUCCGAUGUCUCAAGGCGAAAGGAGUCAAGCUCAAUCCUGAGAAGUGUGUCUUCGGGGUGCCCCGGGGCAUGCUCCUGGGGUUCAUUGUCUCCGAGCGAGGCAUCGAAGCCAACCCGGAGAAGAUCGCAGCUAUCACCAGCAUGGGACCCAUCAAAGACUUAAAAGGCGUAUAGAGGGUCAUGGGAUGCCUCGCGGCCCUGAGCCGCUUCAUCUCACGCCUCGGCGAAAGAGGUCUACCUCUGUACCGCCUCUUAAGGAAGACCGAGUGUUUCGCUUGGACCCCUGAGGCCGAGGAAGCCCUCGGGAACCUGAAGGCGCUCCUUACAAAGGCGCCUGUCUUGGUGCCCCCGCUGAUGGAGAAGCUCUCUUGGUCUACGUCGCCGCUACCACUCAGGUGGUUAGCGCCGCGAUUGUGGUCGAGAGGCAAGAGGAAGGGCAUGCAUUGCCCGUUCAGAGGCCAGUCUACUUCGUCAGCGAGGUACUGUCCGAGACCAAGAUCCGCUACCCACAAGUUCAGAAGCUGCUGUAUGCUGUGAUCCUGACGAGGCGGAAGUUACGACACUACUUCGAAUCUCAUCCGGUGACUGUGGUGUCAUCCUUCCCCCUGGGGGAGAUCAUCCAAUGCCGAGAGGCCUCGGGCAGGACCGCAAAGUGGGCGGUGGAAAUCAUGGGCGAAACAAUCUCGUUCGCCCCUCGGAAGGCCAUCAAGUCCCAGGUGUUGGCGGACUUCGUGGCCGAAUGGGUCGACACCCAGCUACCAACGGCUCCGAUCCAACCAGAGCUCUGGACCAUGUUUUUCGACGGGUCGCUGAUGAAGACGGGAGCCGGCGCGGGCCUGCUCUUCAUCUCGCCCCUCGGGAAGCACCUGCGCUACGUGCUACGCCUCCACUUCCCGGCGUCCAACAAUGUGGCCGAGUACGAGGCUUUGGUCAACGGGCUGCGGAUCGCCAUCGAGCUAGGGGUCAGACGCCUCGACGCCCGCAGUGACUCGCAGCUCGUCAUCGACCAAGUCAUGAAGAACUCCCACUGCCGCGACCCGAAGAUGGAGGCCUACUGCGAUGAGGUUCGGCGCCUGGAAGACAAGUUCUUCGGGCUCGAGCUCAACCACAUCGCUCGGCGCUACAACGAGACUGCGGACGAGCUGGCUAAAAUAGCCUCGAGGCGAACCACGGUUCCCCCGGACGUCUUCUCCCGGGAUCUACAUCAACCCUCCAUCAAGAUCGACGACGCUCCCGAGCCCGAGGCGCCCUCGGCACAGCCCGAGGCACCCUUGGCACAGCCCGAGGCACCCUCGGCUCAGCCCAAGGCACCCUCGGCUCAGCCCGAGGCGUCUGCGGUUCAGCCCGAGGUAGCCUCGGCCCCCGAGGGCGAGGCACUGGACGUCGAGGAGGGGCAGAGCGGGGCCACGCCUGAUCGAGAUUGGCAGGCCCCGUACCUGCAAUAUCUCCGCCGAGGAGAGCUACCCCUCGACCAAGCCGAGGCUCGGCGGGUAGCGCGACGCGCCAAGUCGUUCGUCUUGCUGGGCGAUGAGGAGGAGCUCUACCACCGGAGCCCCUCGGGCAUCCUCCAGUGAUGCAUCUCCAUCGCCGAAGGUCAGGAACUCCUGCAAGAAAUACACUCGGGGGCUUGCGGCCAUCAUGCAGCGCCUCGAGCCCUUGUCGGGAAUGCUUUCCGGCAAGGCUUCUACUGGCCAACGGCGGUGGCUGACGCCACUAGAAUUGUCCGCACCUGCAAAGGGUGCCAAUUCUAUGCGAAGCAGACCCACCUGCCCGCUCAGGCUCUACAGACGAUACCCAUCACCUGGCCCUUUGCUGUAUGGGGUCUGGACCUCGUCGGUCCCUUGCAGAAGGCGCCCGGGGGCUACACGCACCUGCUGGUCGCCAUCGACAAAUUCUCCAAGUGGAUCGAGGUCCGACCCCUGAGCAGCAUCAGGUCCGAGCAGGCGGUGGCGUUCUUCACCAACAUCAUCCACCGCUUCGGGGUCCCGAACUCCAUCAUCACCGACAACGGUACCCAGUUCACCGGCAAAAAAUUCUUGGAUUUUUGCGAGGAUCACCACAUCCGGGUGGACUGGGCUGCCGUGGCUCAUCCCAUGUCGAAUGGGCAAGUAGAGCGUGCCAACGGCAUGAUUCUACAGGGGCUCAAGCCUCGGAUUUACAUUGACCUCAACAAGUUCGGCAAGCGAUGGAUGAAGGAGCUCCCCUCGGUGGUCUGGAGCCUGAGGACGACGCCGAGCCGAGCCACGGGUUUCACGCCGUUCUUCCUGGUCUACGGGGCCGAGGCCGUCUUGCCCACUGACCUGGAAUACGGCUCCCCGAGGACGAGGGUCUACAACGAUCAAAGCAACCAAGCUAGCCGAGAAGACUCACUGGACCAGCUGGAAGAGGCUCGAGACAAGGCCUUACUACACUCGGCGCGGUACCAGCAGUCCCUGCGACGCUACCAUGCCCGAGGGGUCCGGUCCCGAGACCUCCAGGUGGGCGAUCUGGUGCUUCGGCUGCGGCAAGACGCCCGAGGGAGGCACAAGCUCACGCCCCCCUGGGAGGGGCCAUUCAUCAUCGCCAAAGUUCUGAAGCCCGGAACAUACAAGCUGGCCAACAAUCAAGGCGAGGUCUACGGCAACGCUUGGAACAUCAAACAGCUACGUCGCUUCUACCCUUAAGAUGUUUUCAAGUUGUUCAUAUACCUCGCACCCACGCAAAGUUUAGUCGUCAAGGAAGGGUCGGCCUCGCCUCAGCAAAGCCCGACCCUCCCUCGGGGGCUAAAAGGGGGGAGACCCCCUCUGCGUCGAAUUUUUCCUCGAAAAAAGAUCUCUUUUUAGCAGAAUUUCUUUCGUGCUUUUUGACUACUUCGAAAAGCGGAUCCUGGAAACGACGGAGUACACGUAAGCAGCCAAGGCUGACCGAGCCGACGGACUCCUACGCCUCCGGGAUACGGAUACCUCACUCAUCACCUUCUGCGAUAAGUAACUCGCGUUCGGAUAAAGUGACUCCGUGGACCGAACAAGUCUUCACGUUCGGAAGCUCUUCUGCCAAAGCGGUCCUUCAAGCUUUCUCGACUAAGUCGGAGACAGGGCCUCGUGGACGGGCGAAAGUACGCGUAAGCGGCAAGGCCGACCGAGCCGAGGGACUCCCACGCCUCUGGGAUACGGAUACCUCACUCAUCACCUUCCGCGAGAAGCAACUCUCGCCCACACAAACAUCCCUGUUACCGACGGAAAGUCCAGAUGCUCGGAAUAAGAGGAAAAGAGACGCGGCUUCACAACGCAGCGAGGGUGUGUUUUCUGGCCUCGGCGGCCGCAGAAGGCACACGCUACAAGACCAUCUGAUCCUGCAGGCUCGGGUCUUCACGUUGAAGGGGGCUGUAGCACCCUCGGCAUCGACGACGCCUUCAGCGAGGUCCGACCCAGCCUCGGACGACGACGCGGUCCGGGGACUUCUCCGGGAAUCCGGCCCGAGCAGGCGGCUCAGCCGGUUACCCCUGGGGCCUCGGCCGACCAUCUUCCAAGGGCGCCAGCCCGACCCGAGGCCUCGGCUGAUCGACUCCGGCGUCGGCCCCGCUGACGGGCAACUCGGCUAGGCUCCGGCCAACCAGGUUCCCAUCUUCGAGCCAACUCCACCUCUGUUCGUACUGAUAUCGCUACCCCUGGCCUCGGCUCAUCGAAGAGCGGCCGAGGGGUCUCUUUAACUAAGCUAGAGGAGCCUCAGACAACAAGGCCGAUCGAGCCGAGGGAUUCCUACGCCUCCGGGAUACGGAUACCUCACUCGUCACCUUGACACGAGGCGACUCAUGCUUGGUGAAGCGGUUCAGAUAAUCAACCGGCGAGACUUAGUGCUCGAAAAUGAGGAAAAAACACGGCUCCGUGCCGAAAUUACAUACAUGUUCAGGCCUCGACAGCCACAAUGAACAAAAACACUGGCAUUCGAAGUGCCAUUACAAACGGAACUCCGGUUCCCCCUCCGCAGGUACGAACAACCCCACUCCAUGGGGAAGGCCUGCGGAGCAACAGAAUACUGACGAGCGGCUCGCCGCCGCCCGCUCUGACUACGACGACGACUCCCGCUCCGGAUGGCCGAGCCGCAGCAGUGCAGGCCUCAGGGUGGGCGCUGCUGCAAUCUUGCCCUCGCCCACGCCGACGCUCGAGGGGCGAGGACAAGUACGAAGAGCCGGAGACCCGGGGCGCGGAUGGUGGCGGUGAUCCCGUCGGCGACGGGGACUUCUCGAGCCGCCUCUGCCUCGACGCUAAUGGCGAGGGCCACCAGCCCCCGGCAGAUCCCCACUCAAAUCCUCCCAGACGAGUGGGGCACCGGCCUCUGCGCGGGGGCGCCAUCCCGGUGCAAAAGCAGGGCCACCCCAGAACACGAACGCCGCCCUAGCAGCGCGCGACAUCGUGGGUGGUCCUCCCAUGCACACGACGCGGCAGCCGCCCUCCGGCAGGGGGGGCCGCCGGGAGCCAAGCCGAUGACUCCGACACGCUGGAGGUGACGACGCCCGCCGUCGAUCAGCCCCACGUUGUCUAAGUCUGCGCCGCCCGCAGGGCCAGUGAGCGCCCUCUCCUCGAACACCGCGGGAAGUGGUGACCCGCGAACCUGCGUGGGAGGUAGAGCGCCGGCUCAGCCCGGCCCCCACCCCAGCGAGGAUGAUGAACAUCCUUGAAGCUGAGGGUGGGACCAAGAUCGCAGCCCGGCUUGCUUCUCCCCACCCAGGAACUGGCGGUCACCGUCUUGGGUGACCACCAGCGGGGGGAAGCGACCGGGCUGCAUGAUGAAAAUCCUUGAAGCCGAACGAUGGCUGAAAGGUACCAACUCCCACGGAGUUGCGUCCCUCCAGCGAGGAGGCAGAAAGACGGCGGAUACCCCCCAUCCGGGGGCUUGGAAGAUGGAAAGACACGACGCAUAAGGGAGGGAGAAGACAUGGUUGCCUUCCGAAAGGGGUCGCCCUCCUUUUAAAGGCAACUCUCCCUACGUGCGCCCCCAAACGCCACGGGCUGAGUCUUCUCCAACACGCUCCAAGGCCCUCCCCUGCGGCGCGGGGGCUGGGUCCCGCAUGUCAUGCAAACCGGCUCAGAGCAGAAGAAGCCAAACCGCCGCGCGUGGUGCACACAACCGCCCAGCAGCUACAGGCGACCCCCCACUUUUGCCCAGACCAACGGGCGGAAGGGGCGGGCAGCCAUGCAGGCGGCAUGCAACCGCGCCAGGUGGACGCGCCUCUCCAACUUCUGACACGCCAGCUUGGAGGCCUAGGCCCACGCGUCACGCAACCAGCGCGCCAGUUGCUGCAUGCAAGCAACCGCACCGCCACUUGCGCCACCGUCGCACCUCUUCGGUUGCGGAGCCUAUGCCGCGACUCAAGGCGACCCAGCGCACGACCCAGCAGCGCCAGCCUGGAGUGACGGUCAAUGCGGCCGAAAGUGGGCCGGCAGUAAUGACGGUGGCAGGCGGGCGGGAGCAGCAGUCACGUCGUCAGCCAGGCUCACGUCCCAUCCAGGGACAGCAAGAGAGCCUCCUCCCACGGCGUGAAGACGGUGCGCCCGUGACCCGUUCCUCGAUCGGCUCGCGCACGCGCAACGGCCGCCCCACCAACCACUCGCCCCGUCGCAUUAACUCUGCGGCGGGUCAGGCGGCGCCUCUGGCAGAAGAAGCGGGCGACGCUUCACCUUCGCCGUAAUAACCGCGCCAAAAAAGGUACGCCGCGUCAUUCGAUUUCGUAUCCUUUUCCUUUUUCCUCUUUCUCUAUCUCUUGCAACAGGGACCGGGAAGAGGGGGAUACCCCGAAAAGGAUCCUUCUCUGUGAAGGAACCGGGCUCCGAGCCCCCCUACUGAUCAGAGGUUCGAAGGCUGGCCCCCCGAAGGGUUCAACAGUCGCCUCAGAUCGCGUGGGCCCGACACCCACUACUGGUCAGGGGUUCGAAGGCCAGCCCCCCGAAGGGCUCCAUGGCCGCCUCAGGCUACUCGGGCUCCGCGCCCAUUACUGAUCAGGGGUUCGAAGGCUGGCCCCCGAAGGGUUCACAGUCGCCUCAGACGCCGAGCGAGGGAUGACCAGGGGUACGUUCGAUACAUAACCGAGGCUCGGGCUGCGCUCCCGAGGUACCCUAGGACAUUUCCGAGACCAGCGGGAGCGAUCUUGUAACGGAAUCCCAUCGGAGGGAGGCAUCGAGCCCUCGGACCCCGUCGCCAGGGGACUGGGUCCGGCAGAUCACCCGCAGGUACUUUUGGGCGUGCCUCUGGGCCCCUAGCCGACCCCCAACGAACGGGGCACGAACGUCCACUCGGAUUACCCGCUUGCAGCUCACUGGAGACACUAUGUUCGGUGCCCAUCGAGGGUAACAUGGCGCUCUCCCCCCCUCCUCCUUGCGGAAAGGCGACGUAGGGGCGUAUAUAAAAAGCCGAGUCUGUCCCUGAUCGCCCUCUCGCCCUAUGCGGAGGCUCGGGGGCUGCUCUCGCAAACCCGGCUCCGGCCAAACCGUUGACAACGUCAACAUACCAGCCCGAGAGCUUGGGCCCCGACCGUGCACCCGGGCUACGGCCAGUUCGCAUGAGGGAACAACCAGACCAGCCGAAGCAUUACGCAAGGCAUUAAGACCUCGAAGGAGUAAAACCACUCCUCCGAGGCCUCGGGGGCUACACCCGGCGGGUGCGCUCGCGCGCACCCACCGGAACAAAAUGCAACCGAGAAAGGCUGGUCCCCUUGCAAAAAAGUGCGACGAAAGCCUCCAAGCGAGUGCUAACACUCCCUUCGAGGCUCGGAGGCUACUGUCGGGGACCAUAAUUAGGGGUACCCUCAAGACGCCUAAUUCUCAGCUGGUAACCCCCAUCAGCAUGAAGCUGCAGAGGCCUGAUGGGUGCGAUUAAGUCAGGGAUCAGUCCAUACGAGUGACUCGAUCACGCUUCGCCCGAGCCUAGCCUCGGACAAGGGCAGCCGACCUUGAGGGACUUCCGUCUCGCCCGAGGCCCCCCCUUUUUACGGCGGACACAUUUCCGGCUCGCCCGAGGCCUUGGCUUCGCUAAGAAGCAACCCUGACUAAAUCGCCGCACCGACUGACCAAGUUGCAGGAGCAUUUAACGCAAAGGUGGCCUGACACCUUUAUCCUGACGCGCGCCCCCCAGCAGAGCCGAAGUGACCGUCGUCACUCCACCGCUCCACUGACCGGUCUAACAGGAUAGCGCCGCCUGCGCCACCCCGACUGCAGUGCCACUUGACAGAGUGAGACUGACAGGCAGUCAGGCCUUGCCAAAGGCGCCAUAGGAAACUCCGCUCCACCCGACCCAGGGCUCGGACUCGGGCUAAGCCCCGGAAGACGGCGAACUCCGCUCCGCCCGACCCAGGGCUCGGACUCGGGCUAAGACCCGGAAGACGGCGAACUCCGCUCCGCCCGACCCAGGGCUCGGACUCGGGCUAAGCCCCGGAAGACGGCGAACUCCGCUCCGCCCGACCCAGGGCUCGGACUCGGGCUAAGCCCCGGAAGACGGCGAACUCCGCUCCGCCCGACCCAGGGCUCGGACUCGGGCUAAGCUCCGGAAGACGGCGAACUCCGCUCCGCCCGACCCAGGGCUCGGACUCGGGUUUAGACCCGGAAGACGACGAACUCCGCUCCGCCCGACCCAGGGCUCGGACUUGGGCUCGGCCCCGGAAGACGACGAACUCCGCCUCGCCCGACCCCAGGGCUCGGACUCCGCUCUGGCCUCUGCCGAACGAUCUCCGCCUCGCCCGACCCAGGGGCUCGGGCUCGGCCUCGGCCACGGAAGACAGACUCGACCUCGGCUUCGGAGGAGCCCCCACGUCGCCCAGCCUAGGGCACAGGCCCGCCACGUCAACAGGAAGCGCCAUCAUCAUCCUACCCCGAGCCGACUCGGGUCACAGAGAACAAGACCGGUGUCCCAUCUGGCUAGCUCCGCCAGAUGGGCAAUGAUGGCGCCCCACGAGCUCUGUGACGACGGCGGGUCUCAGCUCUCUUACGGAAGCAGGAGGACGUCAGCAAGGACUGGACCGCUCCGACAGCUGUCCCUCCGCCAAGCUCCGUUGCUCCUCCGACAGCCACGACAUCACGCCAGCAGGGUGCCAAGAUCUCUCCGGAUGCCACAUUGGCAUGUACUUAGGGCGCUAGCUCUCCCUCCGCUAGACACGUAGCACUAUGCUACACCCCCCAUUGUACACCUGGAUCCUCUCCUUACGCCUAUAAAAGGAAGGACCAGGGCCUUCUCAGGGAAGGUUGGCCGCGCGGGACCGAGGACGGGACAGGCGCUCUCUUGGGGCCGCUCGCUUCCCUCACCCGCGUGGACGCUUGUAACCCCCCUACUGCAAGCGCACCCGACCUGAGCGCGGGACGAACACGAAGGCCGCGGGAUUUCCACCUCUCUCACGCCCGUCUCCGGCCACCUCGCCUCUCCCCCCUUCGCGCUCGCCCACGCGCUCGACCCAUCUGGGCUGGGGCACGCAGCACACUCACUCGUCGGCUUAGGGACCCCCCGGUCUCGAAACGCCGACAAGUGGAGACCAUUUUUUGGUCAAAAAUAUGUAGGUGUUAGUCUUCGGUAUUAUUGGAAAUGGUCGUUCAAGGCUAUUUUUGACGAAAGUGGGGGUUGUGUGGCCAUUGAUCAUUGACUAGAGGUCGUUCACCUCACCCCACAUAUGUUUCCUUGCCAAAGAUCACAUUCUUGGAUUUCUGGUGGAGACCAUUUCUAGGUCAAAAAUCCAUAAGUGUUAGCAUUCGGUAUUAUUGAAAACAGUUGUUCAUUCUUUUUCGACAAAAAUGGUUGUUGUGUGGCCAUUCAUCAUCGACCAGAGGCUCAUACACCUCACCCCACAUAUGUUUCCUUGCCAUAGACCACAUUCUUGGAUUUCUGGUGGAGACCAUUUCUUGGUCCAAAAUCCGUAGGUGUUAGCCUUGGGUAUUAUUGAAAAUGGUCGUUCAUGUUAUUUUCCACAAAAGUGUGGGUUGUGUGGCCAUUGAUCAUCGACCAGAGGCUCGUACUCUUGACCCCACAUAUGUUUCCUGGCCAUAUAUCACAAUCUUUGAUUUCUGGUGGAGACCAUUUCUUGGUCAAAAAUCCGUAGGUGUUAGCCUUCGGUAUUAUUGAAAAUGGUCGUUCAUGCUAUUUUCGACAAAAAUAGGAGCUAUGUGGCCAUUGAUCAUCGACCAGAGUCUCGUACACAUCUCCCCACAUUUGUUACCGUGCCAUUGAUAACAUUCUUGGAUAUCUAGUGGAGACCAUUUUUGGUAAAAAAUCUGUAGGUGUUAGCCUUUGAUAUUAUUGGAAAUAGUCGUUCAAGGCUAUUUCGACAAAAAUGGUGGUUGUGUGGCCAUUGAUCAUCUUCCAGAGGCUCGUUCACCUCAGCCCACAUCUGUUUCCUUGUCAUAGAUCAUAUUCUUGGAUUUCUGGUGGAGAUCAUUUCUUGGUCCAAAAUCCGUAGGUGUUAGCCUUGGGUAUUAUUGAAAAUGGUCGUUCAUGUUAUUUUCCACAAAAAUGGGGGUUGUCUGGCCAUUGAUCAUCGACCAGAGGCUCGUACUCCUGACCCCACAUAUGUUUCCUGGCCAUAUAUCACAUUCUUGGAUUUCUGGUGGAGACCAUUUCUUGGUCAAAAAUCUGUAGGUGUUAGCCUUCGGUAUUACUGAAAAUGUCAUUCAUGCUAUUUUCAUCAAAAAUAGGAGUUGUGUGGCCAUUGAUCAUCGACCAGAGGCACAUACAGCUCACCCCACAUUUGUUUCCUUGCCAUAGAUAACAUUCUUGGAUUUCUAGUGGAGACCAUUUCUUGGUCAAAAAUCCGUAGGUGUUAGCCUUCGGUAUUAUUGGAAAUGGUCGUUCAAGGCUAUUUUCGACAAAAAUGGGGGUUGUGUGGCCAUUGAUCAUUGACCAGAGGCUCGUACACCUCACCCCACAUAUGUUUCCUUGCCAUAGGUCACAUUCUUGGAUUUCUGGUGGGGAACAUUUCUUGGUCAAAAAUCCGUAGGUGUUUGCCUUCGGUAUUACUGAAAAUGAUCGUUCAUGGCUAUUUUCGAAAAAUGGGGGUUGUGUGGCCAUUGAUCAUUGACCAGAGGCUCGUUCACCUCACCCCACAUAUGUUUCCAUGCCAUAGGUCACAUUCUUGGAUAUUUAGGGGAGACCAUUGCUUGGUCAAAAAUCUGUAGGUGUUAGUCUUCUGUAUUAUUGGAAAUGGUCGUUCAAGGCUAUUUUUGACAAAAGUGGGGGUUGUGUGUCCAUUGAUCAUUGACCAGAGGCUCGUUCACCUCACCCCACAUAUGUUUUCUUAUCAAAGAUCACAUUGUUGGAUUUCUGGUGGAGACCAUUUCUAGGUCAAAAAUCCAUAAGUGUUAGCAUUCGGUAUUAUUGAAAACAGUCGUUCAUGCUUUUUCGACAAAAAUGGUUUUUGUGUGGCCGUUCAACAUCGACCAGAGGCUCAUACACCUCACCCCACAUAUGUUUCCUUGCCACAGACCACAUUCUUGGAUUUCUGGUGGAGACCAUUUCUUGGUCCAAAAUCCGUA
rnacentral:lncRNA from 1 species